CAACUCAGCAUAAACAUGAUUGGCAUCCAUAUCCUUCGAUUCGUCAGAACUAGGCCACCCAGUCUCUGUCACAAUCAAGGGUAUAUUUUCAUGACCUUGUAAUGCCAUUGCAGUAAGGACUGAAUCAACCAUCAUAUCGAAGAGAUUUCGAUAUCGAACUCCAGUCAACAAAUCAUCACGAAAAACAAAGGGAUGUUCUUGAAAUAUUGCAUACCCAAUCGUUAUCUCAGGGUUAUUCCGAUACAAAUUGUAAGGAUACAAAUUAAUCAAGAAAGAAGAAUUCGUCUCAGACAAGAAACCCAAAAGUAGUUUCAUCAAAGAUUCAGCUAAAGGUUGUUGAAAUUCUGCAGAAGAAGGUGGGAAAGCAGUAGUAAUGACAUUAAUGAAUGAGAAAGUAGUUGAAACUUUAAUCUUAUCAAUUCCAAGUUCAUCAAGAGCUUGACGAACAUUUUCCAUUGCAGAGAGAAGAAAAUCAGAAUGAUUUGAAUCCGAAGUAGCUUCUUCUUCUUCUUCUUCUUUUUCUUUUUCAUCAAGAACAUUGUUACCAACAGAAAUUGUUGAAAUAUGAACUCUAGGGUAAAAAGGGGUAACAUGAUGAUUAAGCCAAUGAAGAGCUUCAGAUUGAUUUGAAGCAAUUUGUGUAAUUAAUGAAUUUGGGAUUGAAAGAAGAAGAGAAAUACCAGAGUAAGAAAAACUUCGAAUAAUCUCUGGAUCAGAAUCAGGUAAUCUAAUUGAGUUGAUUUUGAGUGAUUGAAGAAGUGAAACGAUUUGAUGUGUAGUAGUUCCGAUCCUCCUCUAUUGUUGUAUGUAAUUCCAAUUGAUGGAUGAUUUGAUUCAGUUCCAGCAGAUGGAACUAAGAAUGAGAAGAAGAUGAUGAUGAAGAAGAUGAACAAGAUUGACAGAUUCUUGGAAGAAGAAGAAGAAGGAUACAUGUUUUACUUUCUUGAUUCAGAGUUUUCAAGUUUGUGUGUUUGUGUGUUUUCUUCUAUCUCUUUCUCUGGAAUUUGUUGCAGAAAGAAGAUUUUAGAAUGUGCAAGGGUGUGAAGUGUGCACUCUAGUGAAGGUUUAGAAGGUGCGUAAUGCGCAUCGUGCGUACGUUAAGCGCCUUCAGUUUGUUGGAGUUUGUUAUUUUCGGCGGGAGAGAAUCACAGCCGUUGAUCUUUGCUGCACGUGUUCCGGAAUUCUGUUCUAUGACCCACACAACCCAAGCCCAUAUUUAAGCCCAAACAGUUCCCUUGCGCCAUAAACCAUUUUCUUAGUUCUUACACAAAAACUUUUUUUUUCGAAGAAAGCCAAAAGAAAAGUUUGUGACUGAAAACAAAAUGAGUGGUUUCAAGCUUUUAGGCUGGAUUUCAAAACCGCCAAUUAUUUUCAACUUUGUUUAUAAUAUAAAACCUGAAAACCACUUUUCCUUUCAAUCCAAUUCUUCUAACAAACAAACCCACCUAUUAUUUUCUUCUUUACUUGGUCCAUCAUGGAUUCUUCUUCUUCUUCUUCUUCUUCUUCUUCUUCAAAUCAUAGAUUGUUUAACAGAGAAAGAACACUACAUCAGAUCCUUGGUGAAGGUUUCAGUAAGUGAAAUUGAUUAGGAUUUUUAAUUAUGUUAAUUAGAUGAUCAGAUCUUACUUUGGGGUUUUAAUGAAUAAUGAUGGUAUUUAUUUUGUUGUUUAUUGAUUUAAUAGUUGCAGAUGUGAUGUUAUGGAGAAGAAAAAAUUUUAAGUGUGGGGAUACUAGUGGUAACACUUGCUGCUUGGGUGGUUUUUGAGAAAUCUGGUUAUACUUUGCUUUCACUGGUUUUUAAUGUUCUGUUGCUGUUAAUUACUAUUCUUUUUCUUUGGGCAACAUCUGCAGAGAUUCUCAACAGGUAUUAUUGAUAACUAUGUUACCUAUUGUACUACAAUGUGAGUAGUGGAGGAGUUCGAUUUAUAUGAUCUCGUCAUCCCGUAUAAAUGCUGGUUAUACAGAAUAUAUAUUGAAUGAUAUGAACUUUGUUAGUGAAUCUAGCUACCAAUUUUAUUGUUCUUGGUAACCUGUUUCUUUUCAGCUUUUGUCGAAAUUUAAAAUAUAUCGAUAAAAUCUCAGACUACAUUAUCUUGAACUCAAUUUGGAAUGUACAGUAUUUGCUUCAAAGAAUAGCUAAUUCAUUGCUGAGCCUAUGGUCCCUUAAAAGUUUGUUUGUAGAGAUAGAUCAUAGAACUCUAUAUAGUGAAAUCAUUGCUUAUAGAUCCUUUGUUUACUGGUUUUCGCGUACAUUCAAACUACAUUCCAAAAAUGAUAAAGUUAUAAGUCUCCUCAAUAGGGUUUGUUUCUCAUAUUUUACACGAUUUCUGAGAUAGCGAUAUUAACUUAUUGUUGCAUAGAGGUUAAGUGGGCUUAAUGCCUGAAAAUCACAUUAUAACAAGAACAAUUUCUGUAAAAGAAUCUCACACUUCUAUACUCUGGUCUUAGCACCAAGAGUUAUUACAUGUUAGAGCUAUAAAGAAUCUGGACAUGUAAGUAGUCAGUGUAGUUGGACGCACGGGUCAGGGGUUCGAUUCCCCAAUUAGACAAUUCUGCCUUAAGUGGGAGGUCAUGGCGGUGGAUAGCUGUGCUAGCCUCCCCAGGGAUUUAGUCCCAGUAAACAAAGCGAAUGAGCCUGUGGCUCAAUGGUAGCACCCCUCUCAUUGAGCCAGUCUCAAUACUGAUAUUAACCAAUGUGUUUCCUUGUAGCAAAAAGGAAAAUAAGAUUUUUGACUGUAUUUUUUCAUUUUUUUUUUCUCGUUGUUUUUCAUAUUCUUGCAGUAAAUAGUUAGUUGUGGAGUGAAAUGUGCAAAUUUAGGUGUCUUCAUCCAGAAACUUAUUGUCUGAAUUGAUCUUGAUUACAGACCUCCUCCUCCUCUACCAGAUCUACAGUUGUCAGAAGAGUUUAUAAAUGAAGCAGCGGCUUUCAUUCGUUCUCGCAUUAACGCAUUGCUCUUAGUUUCUCGAGAUAUAUGUCUGGGAAAGGACUCGAAGAUGUUUUUCAAAGUUGCAGGGUGUAUGUGGCUAAUCUCUGUUGUUGGGGGCUGGACUGAUUUCCUUACUUUGGGUUACACAAGUAGUUUCUAAACCUCACUUUAUAUAAUGCUGUUGUAUUUCAUAACGUAUAAAUACCUAAACCUACCAUGAAGGCAGUAGACAUAAAAUAUUCAGGACUGCAAAAUUUAGGUUGUACACUAAUAUAUUGGAACUAAUGUAGGAAGGCCAGCAGAUUGAUCUUUUUCUUCGUUGAGACUUUAUGUUUUGAUGCUUCCUACUUUAUAUAGGUCUAGUUUCUGUCUUUCAGUUAUGCACUUACCAUUUUUUGGUGCUACCGAUGACUGUAUGGCAGGUCUUGUGUUUCUUCUUACUGUUCCUGCACUGUAUGAGAAAUAUGAGGAUCAAGUUGACAGAUAUGUGAUAUUGGGAUAUAGAGAAUUGCAGAGGCUCUACGUAAUAUUAGAUCAACGGUGUCUCAAUAAAAUCAGAAGUUUGAUAUUGGAGAAGAGGAAACUCAGCUAAUUCUAUUUUCCCUCUGCUUUCUUACUUAAAGAGUAGAGCUCCCACUUUAUAAAAUACGAGUGCUCGGGGAAAUGAAUUUUUCUUUCUCACGUUUCCCCUUUCUUUACUUUUUGUCCCUCCCACGUUUUUUCAUGGCUGUUGGGAUUGUGGUGCUAGAGUUUGGCUGAUGUGGUUUGUGUUGAUAUAUGGAUAAGUCAAAAACAUAAUAAAAUUCUUCUCAUUAAGUAGUGCAGGCAGCAAAUUGUUUUUAUUUUUUUGGGAUAACAAGGCACCAUGUUGUUAAUAUGCCUUUUCCUCUUCUUAUGGGACAAGUAAAUUGCGCAUAUUUUAUUGAUAUAACAUGAAGCAUUGGCAUCAUGUUUAUACCACUACCACAGCUGUAAACCCAACAAAAACAUCCCUUCACCACAACUAGUAGUGCAGAUUGUAGUUUCUACAGUAGACAUAGGAGCAACACCUGCCUGAAAUGCUUCCAAAUGGAGCUCAGAUCCCUCAAUCAGAGGACAGGCAUGUUCUCUCUGCAGCAGCUGAUCCACCAAGCUUCAAGUAUUGCCAGCAGCUUCUUAUCCUCUAAUAAUAGCUGUAAUAACAUGGACUCCUGAUACUUAAAUGAGGGUGUUCAAUGUUCAUCUCUACUCCUCGAAAGUGUUCAUCCAAAUACAAUACAUCUAUAGUUAGGAGCACCUAAACAUCUUCUUGAGAGAUGUCAGAGUCUUGAUCAGGACCACAAUUAGCCCAAAACAGUUUGUGUUAUCAAGAAAGUUGGAGCAUAAUUUCAUACUGCAUUUAUAUGGAAUCCAUUUAGAGUUGCAUAAAUUGAAAAAUGCAUCAAACUUAAAUGCAUCAAACUUAGGGGAGAAAAGCAAAAAGAUUUUGAGCCUGUCAGACAACCGUGUGAACAUCUCAGCCACCAAGGCAGCUGAGAACGAUCCUCUACAACCAGAAGAUUCACAGCUUGAAUCUCGGCCAUUAAUCACGCUCUGAUCACACGGUCCUGGUUCAUCCACCAAGCUUUGGUUACCGUCUCCUUUUUACUAAAGGAUACAGAGGCACUUCCCUAUAGAACAGAUCCUGUUCAAGUAAGGUCGUACCAUACACACUCAUUUCAUUGUUGAAAUAGCACUACCAAACAUGAUAUCUUGUCGAUGUGGGACUAUGGUGCUAAUGCUCCCUGUCAAAGACAACUAAAUUUAGACGCUUUGUCUCUUACCUUAGAAAACAUUGCAACGUAAUAGAAAUCAAACAUCCAUCGCAACGAGUUAUGUGGGCAUUAGAUGUAAAUGAGAUCAUCAUAUUAAACACUUGAACAAAUAGUAACUUCUCAAACAGUAACCAUAGAGGACACCAUAUUUCUCAAACAAGGAAAAGAAGAAUAUUAACUUCUCUUAUUUAACAAGUACAAAAUAACUUAUAUAUGCGAAGCAUUCUAUGUCUGGAACAGAUGUUCCUCGUCUCACUUAUUUAUUUCAGAGGUCCGGUUGCAGUAUUGCACUUCAUUUAGGCCUCGGCAGCAAGGUGAGCAUCCAACUUGUCACCAAACAUGACAAACAUAUUCAUAAACUGUUGUGGAUCUGGUCCACCCUCAUUGCGCUUUUCAUACUCAAAAGUCCAUUUUACCAAGCUCCCUUCACCAUUAGGAACAACUUGCAUCUUUAGCAGGACAAAACCAUUAUAAUGAUUUGUAUGAUCUCCUUCGUAUAUGUUCCAAACUAUCAACAUGUUUUCAUCAUCUAUCACUUCAGUCUUUUCCUUAGCAGUCAAAACUUCGGAUGUCCCUGUAAAAAUCAUCAUCAUAUAUACAAGUUAGAUACAGUAUAAUCAAGAAACCAGACGAUGAGAUAGAUUUUGAUGUCUAAUCAUCCUCUUGUGUGAUUAUGCAAGUUUUACCUGGGAGGACAUAUUUCCAAAGCCUGACAGAACCCACACUCUCACCAUCUCCUUCAAGUAUAUCAAUACUCUUGUAUGACUCAGGGAAGAUAGUAUGGAGGUGAUGAAGAGUGUACUUGAUCAUACCGUAGAACUUCUGAGGAUUACACUUUGCUUCCUUUUCCAUCUCAAGCUUACCAGUGGCCAUAUUUUGUUCUAUGGAGACCAACUUAAGAGUUAAGAUGACAGUAUUGCUAUUUUCCAAUAUUGGGACUUGGGAGUCAUAUAUAUAGCUCAUGAAAAUGUCCUCAAGAAACUAAUAGAUGAUAUUGAAAAUAAAUAUUUUGUGGAUAUGUGGUCUACACCGUAACCAUUUGAUGUUACUGAUAGCUGUGAGAUUUUGAAUAUUGCACAAUUCUAAAUUGAAGAUUUGCAGUUGAAGAGAGAGAGAUUGUAGUUGCAAAUGAGGUUAUGUAGCAUUGUUGAAAUUGUACCAAACAGUCGCUAGUUGCAAAUGAGGUUAUGUAGCACCGUUGAAAUUGCAUCAAACAGUUGCUAUGAAUGAUUCUUCACAAUGCAUUUAUUUAUUUAUUUUUUUGAGAAAUAAAUGACUUUCAAGAACAUGAUUAUUGCUACUGUAAGUACCAUACUAGGUGACGUGUAAAGAACGUAGGAGUACGCCAAGUAAGGAAAACCGAGAACUACCUAAUAAUAGCUUAGAACAUUCUAGAGCAUCACGGAUAAAACACGUGAUACCUAGUUGUCAAGCACUUACCCUAUAGUAUGUGAUGGAGGAUGAGCCACGAAAGAGAUAGAAGGACCGUAGGAUGCAGAGGGGAAUCCUACGGUCAGAAGAAGACGGUUAAUACCGCUAUAUAAGGAAAACAUUAGGGUUCACACAAGGUAACUAUUCACUCUUUACUUAAUCUAAUUUCUAAGUUGGCCUCCAUUACUAACUUGGGCGUUGGAGCUUUCCCCACCGGAUGAUAGCCGGUGGUCUUUGCAGGUAUCACAAGGAGAUAGAAGAGAAGGAGCUCAACAACCCAGAUCUGUGACCAAGCUCGAGAUGGAGCUUACAGCUACUUUCAAGAACAUGAUUAUUCUCAAUAGUAAAAGGGUUUUAAGGGUGCCACAUAAGAGAGAGAAAAGGUUUUAACAUAGUGUUAAAAUUUAAGGUUUCACUUUUCUCCAAAAAUAUAGUGUACAUUGUGAUGAAAUCUAAUUUUUAAUUAAUAAAAUGGUUCUAUGGGGCACUUUUAACUCUUUGCCAAGGAGAUAAGAGCAUUCUCAAUGGUAAAACACUUUUAGUGAUGCCACAUAGGAUGGUUUUAAGGAAUUUUGGUGUUUCCAAUGGUGGGUUAUUGAAACCGCACUCAUUGUGGGGUAUAGAUCCAUACCGCACUAAUUAUGGCGGAUGGAUUCCUACGUGGCACUUUUAACUACUUGGCAAAUUUGCCAAGGAGUUAAAAGUGUUUUGCUUGAAAAGUGUGUUAAAAGCUACCAUUGGCAACUGUUUACACUAAAAGUUUACUAAAAGUGUGCUAAAACCUACCAUUGGGAAUGCUCUAAAAGUGUUUUGCUUGAAAAAUGCGUUAAAACCCACUAUUGGCAAGAGUUUUUUAUUAAAAGUUGCUAAAAGUGAUUUAAAACCUACCAUUGGGAAUGCUCUUAGAUUACCAAACUAAAAAACACAAAUUACUUCGACCACUAAGCUCAACAUAGUCUUAGGCCCAAGAAUCGUUUGGGGGAGAAAAAGCUAUUAAUAGUUUAAUAGGCAGCUGAGAACGAUCCCCUACUGCCAGAAGAAUCACAACUUGAAUCUCAGCCAUUAAUCAUGCUCAGAUCGCACGAUCCUGGUUCAUCCAACAAGCUUUGGUUUCCAUCUCCUUUUCACUUGAGGACAAAGAGGUACUUCACAGUUCACAUAUCACAUAAAAUAAUUCACAACACACACACAUACACUAACUAUUGGGCUCAAAUCUUUACUAAUUGUAAAGCAACCUGCCUUUAGCUACAGUAAAGCCCAUCUUAUAUCCUAUAAGAAAUUGCCUUUAAAAGGCUAAAAGCACACGCCACUUUUCUAGAGGCACACACCUCGUCAAAAAAUUAAGAGCACCCUUCUUAACCGGUUAAACCUGUUUCACUUAAAUAUAUCUAGGCAAAGGGCACACCCCCUAUUUUUCAGUUUUUUCUUCCGUCCCGUCCACUUUCUUUCAUACCUUGGUUUCUUCUUGCUCUUCCCUAUUAGAAAUCUCUUCUUCUCUAUCUUCCCUUUUUAUUGGGUUUCUCUUCAAGUGAAUUGAUUCAACUAUUUUGAGUUAGGUAUCUCUCUCAAUUUCAACUAACAGGUAUUUCUCUCUCUAUAUAUCUAUCUCUCUCUCUUUUUUAUGGUAAAGAUCUAUCUAUCUUUUUUUUUUUUUUUUUUUUGUGUAAAUACAACAACAGUAAUUCGUGAUUUUUGGUUUUAAUUGUAAUUGAGAUUGUUGGGGUAUGAACUUAAUUGCAACAUCAACAGUGACCCUCCUAUUAAUUAAGAUAUAUAUGGGAUAGGUGGGUUUAGUUUUUGGAGAUAUUAUUCUUUGUUUUCGAUAAAGAAAAAUUGAGAAAAAGAGCAGCAGCAAUCAGUUGUUUUGGAUAUAUAAUAAAACUUAAGUUCAAUAUUUUAUCUAUGAAGUUGAGUAAAAUAAUAAAAACAAUAGUCCCCAUUAAUUUUCUCAUAUGAAUUUGUAUGAUUGUAUCUACUUUAAAAAAAAUUAAAAUAAAAUUUUGAUUGAAGCAAAUCUUGCCAGAUGUAAUAUUGUAGCUCUAGGGAUCAUUCUUGAAGCAGCCAGUUGGCACUUGUCAGGCGCCUUAGUGUAGAAACCGGGGAAGGGUAUUUAAACUUUUUCAUCUUAGGGUUGUUACGAUCUUUCACAACAGCACAAACAUCCGUUGGUAUUAUUCAUCCAAGCUUUUGAGAAAUUGUGAAAAAGAACUGAAGAUAGAAGAGACCAAACUAUGGAGUUAAUAAGAAAUUGUCCUCAUCCUACUGCGCUGGCAGAGUGAUGGAUUGCAAACUCCAAACUCUUGCGGAAAUUUGCUAAAGAAAACUAAACUAAUUAAUCAGCCAUAACAAUAACUAUACAACACUGUUAACAAUGACAACCAUUCCAUAAACUAGGUUAAUAGUAAUUACUUUCUUUUUAACUAACAUCACAUUGUCAAUACAAUGUUUUAGAAACUAGACGAUCUAUACAAUAAGGAAGCAUUUUGGUCAAAAACUGCACAAUGAAACAACAGGAAGCUGUUUCAAAUUGAUAGAAUUCAUAAAUACAUGCUUGUCUAUGGGGACAUUACUGCCUUGCUGCGGAUUUGAUUUGAUCGCCUCAAAGGAGUUGUGGGGAUCAUUAAAUCUGCUUUGCCACCAGUUCUCGCCUGUUCAAUGCAAAAUAAGAACAUAAAAGAUUUUCAUUAUUCUAUACUUCAAAGAAGAUUGCUUGCAGUAGUUUAUAGAAAUUAGUAUAUUUAAUUAAGAUCAACUUCCAUCUUCUUGUAGUACCAUUAGCGUUAUUUUCAGUAGAAGAACUCAAGGAGAUAUCAAUAAGACAAUAGCAAAUCUCUUUUAGAUAAAUGACUCGGUUUAAGACUUUGUGUCAAAAAUUUUCUUCAAGUUGAAUUUUAACUUGGAAUACCCUGCAUGUAUCUAGACGGUACGACCACUUGUAGCAGUACAGAUCGAAAUCCACAAUGCUAAUCACAAGAUCUACUGUGUUAUUAAGUACAUUUUAUUUACCAUUAUUUGAUAUAUAUAUAUAUAUAUAUAUUUAUCUUAGCAGGGCUACAAAAUUGCUCAAGAGAGGGCUUGGCGUCAACGAUAAGGAAGCUGAAUUAGAAUUGAGUAAGCACAGUCAAACACAUGUAAGCACUACCUGGCUGUGUAGCAUCUUUCAUAAAAAAGUGAAAACCCUGACAAGUCGUAGACACGUUGAACAUGCAGUUAGAGCGUACUUAAUGUUUCUCUUUGCAUGUGUCUUGUUCCUUGACAAAACUAGUACUGAUGUAAAUGUUUGUUACAUUAUACCUCUUAUGACGUUUUCUAAGAUCAAAGAUUUUGCUUGGGGUGCGGCUGUUUUGGCCCAUAUUUAUAGAUCUCUUGGAAAAGCUUCGCGAGCAGAGUGUAAACAAUUUUCUGGAUUUAUAACUUUAAUUCAGGUAAUACUUUUUAGUUGGUAAUGUUUACUAAGAAAAUAUAUAUCUACAAGUCUAACUCUAUUAAAUGUGUAGGCAUGGAUAUAUGACCAUUUUCCUAACUUUAGUGUUAUUCCUAAUCUGGAUUACGUGGAUACAAUACCACGCAUGAUGAGGUGGUCUCCUUUUCCUGUCAGCUAUACUGACAAUAUGCAAGCUUUGAGGUGGCAUAGAGAGACGAUUGAUCGUAUGACAGCUAUUGAGGUAAGUUUUUACAAUGUUAUUUGUAAUUUUUUAUUUUUAUUUUUUGUUUACCAAAUAUUUUUCUAAACUUAAUCAGGUUCAUUGGGAUCCUUAUUUUGAAUUACGUGGAAGUACUCGUUGUUUGCAUGAGAUUUCUUUCUACCAAGGUGUCAUAUAUUUUUUUGAUGUUGUUGAGGCUUAUCAUGCCAAUAGAGUUUUGCGUCAGCUAGGUCACAUACAAGGAAUCCCACCUUCAAUUAUCAUCCCAGUUAAAAGUAGGAGAACUGCAUCUACAAUCAAGUUUGAUGUCAUGCAUGGUAGACAUGAUGUCUACUUUUCACAAUGGGAAUCACACAAACUAGAUUCACACGUGCGUGGAGAUCGUUCUACUGUUGCUUGGGAGGUGUCUGCAGAUUACUUGGAAUGGUAUUACAAAAUUAGUCAUCCUGUAAUGACUCCCAAGGAUAAUGUAUCUCUCCUUCAUCGUGAUCCUCCUAUUAAUUCGGUAAAUAAAAUAUUUAUUUUAGUUGUCUUCAAUAUAUUGUUUGUUUUAAAUAUAUUUUAUGAAUUUGAAGCAAUGUUAUUAAUAUUAAAUCUUAUCGUUGGUGUGUUAUUUAUUGCAGCUUGCAAUAAUCGAUGAGAUUGUUCGUCACUUGAAGAAUGGAUUAGACUCAAGAAGAGAGCAACUACCUCAAGAUGUGUUGCACAAUUUUGAGUUGGCAUACAAAAUUGCUACUAAUAAGUCAAUCCUUCUGCGGGAGGAAGAAGAGGGAGAUGAACAAGGCUGAGCAAUAUUUUUUUAUUAGUUUAAAUUCGUAUAGUUUGAUAUAUAUUUUUUAAGAUUAUUUUUUUAAAAUUUGAUUGUGGAUGAUUCAAAAGUUUGAUAUAGUUUAAAUUCGAAAAGAUUAAUAUUUUUUUUGAAUGGUAUUCAUUCAACUAAUAGUCCUACAUAAAGAUGUUUUGCUUUCAAUGGUACUGAUAUGAAUUUGAAUGGUACUGAUGUCAAUUUGAAUUUUGCUUUUAAAAUUUACAAAUGAUUUCAAACUUUCUAAAAAAUAUUUUUCUGUACAAGUCCCUUCAAGGACUAAGCUAUAAACAAUAAUAAAGAUUAAGCUAUCAACAAUAAUAAAGAUUAAUUAAGAUAACUCAUACCUGCAUUUGUUAAUCCCCAACUUUACUUUUGACUUGAGCUCAAAGUAUUAAUUUUCAUGUAGCUAUCCUAACCAGUUUUAUGUGACCGUAUCUCUAUUUUGGUAAGAAUGUAUCAUGCCUGAUUCAAGCCUACAAAACUCGGUAGUUUAUCCCUCUUAUCUAUCCUACACCAAAUAUUGCACCAGAAUCACAAGUAGUAUUUGGAGAUAAUAGCUGCAGCACGAAAUUUUUCAAAGUUGAUCUAUUUUUUAGGGUCUUCGUGUUCGCUUCCUCUCUUACAGCCAUAGUUGUAAUGGUUACUAGCAAUAACUUGCUGAUUAUAUUAGCUUUUAGUGCUCGACAAUAACUUGCUGCUUAUAGUGAAUAGUGGCCAGCGGUCUGCUGUUGGGAUAAUUAAAUUUGGCCAACACUACAUUGCUACGCUUUCAAAAAAAAAAAAAAAAAAAAUAAUGUCAAACGUACUUGGCAAUAACUUGCUGAUUAUAGUGAAUAGUGGUCAGCGGUCUGCUGCUGGGAUAAUUAAAUUUGGCCAACACUACAUUGCUACGCUUUCAAAAAAAAAAAAAAAAAUUAAUGUCAAACGUACUUGGCAAUAACUUACUGAUUAUAGUAAAUAGUGGCCAGCGGUCUGCUACUGGGAUAAUUAAAUUUGGCCAACACUACAUUGCUACGCUUUCAAAAAAAAAUUUGGAAACACUUACUUUGAUCAAUUGCAACUUUUUCCAUAUUUUUCAUCUCUAAACAUAUCAAAUCUAGGGCCUUCUUAGACAUUUGGCUCCUGAGAUUAUUAAAAAACGUACUUUUAUGAUUGUGUGCAGUGUAGAUCAAACUACGCUCAAAAGACGCUCUGAUUUCUCUGAGUUGGAUGUUGGUUGCCGGAUGUAUCAAAGACCACAUACCCAACAAAUCUGUUGGCAUGUAUGCCCCAAGUCCUUCUUCAACUGAAAAUGGGCACCUUCUACUCUAUUUGUAGUGGUGCACCCGAAAUGCAAAUGACGGUUGGUCCAUGCAGCCACAAACAUCUCUUUGUGAAUCAACCAUGUUUUCCGAAGAUAACACACAAGACCAUAGUAUUCUUUCCUGAACAUCUUCUCUAUUCGACUAAAUCUUUUAUCAAAGAUUUCUGGUGUUGGUGACUUUACUGCAUAAUGCCAGAACAAUUUCAGAUUUUUUAUGUCUUCAUCCGUAGGUAGCACAUCUGUUCCUUUCCUUAGCACAUUGGUAGCAACAUGAAAUCGACAUAAAUGUUUAUCUGCAUUGGGAAAAACUGACUGUGUUGCAUUCAUAAGAGCAUAGUCUCUGUCAGUCACUAUUACUGAAGGAGUUAAAUCACCUAAUAAAAGUUGAAACCUUUUUAACGCCCAAGUGAAGUCAGCUUCUUUCUCCGAACACAUCAAAACUUGACAGGCGGUGAAUGUCUUAUAGGUCGAAGUGAUACCAACAAUUUGAAGAAAUGGCCAAUGAUACUUAUUGGUUUUGUAUGUCGCAUCCAUCAUGAAUACUUUAGGGAAACAUUUACACAAAUCGACUGAACCCGGAUGUGCCCAAAACAACUCAGCAAUUUCCUCAGGAUUUUUAGCAAUUUCCUCAAAGUUUUUAGCAGUUUCCUCAGAGAUUUCAACAUUUUCCUUAGACUUAUUUGAAUUUUCAUGAGAUUCAUCGGGACCACUGUGUCUGCACCAAUCAAUCAAAUAUCUCUCCUUAGCCAACUUAUGUAAUAAGUUUUGCAUUUGAGUCAAGUCCCCCUUGUCGUUUGCCCUAACCUGCUGUCUUGCAUUGUAAACUUGUUUAAGACUAGAAGUAUUCAAAGGAAAACUUUCGCUGAUAGACGCCAUGACUUGUUUUGCCUUGACCCCGCUCUUUGUCAACUUUAUAACAUGAUCCAUUUCUUCCUUUUUAAACCUUCCUGCGUAGGGAUGGCCUUCUAAAGUUGUAGCCAAUGGAUGGUUGUAAGAACCACAUACCACCUCUAACCUCCAGGAAUCAUGGCUUCCCAAUACAAAUUUUCCUUUUAAUUCAAAUGGACAUUGUAUUUUCUUAGUUCCAGACUGUCGAUGAAAUAGUUGUUGGUUGUCCGAUUUUUUCUUGUGAGAGCGAUACUUUCCACCACGGUCGCACAUUAGGAUCAACCUCGGUGAUUUAGUCCCACUCCUACCUUGUGACCUCUUUGUGGUAAUAACAACUUUGUGAUUUUUUCCAGUAUUUUGGACCCAAGUAAUUAACUCACUCCGACUAUUAAAAACCUCUUCAGUGGUAAAAAACUCUGUCAAAUCAACGACCGUCUGAUUGCUACACCCAUUAUCAUCAUUGGCGACAUCAGGGGAAACAUGUUCACUUGAAGCAUUAGAAGCAUUUCUUACAUCUUCCUGCAAAUUAAAUAAUGCUAUUUGAGAUAUUUGUUUGUUAUAAAAAUGAAAAAUGUAGCAAAAUUAAACCUUUAUAACAUUCAGACCUCUUCAAAUUCAUGAUUGAGUAACUUCAGAUUCGUCGAGAGUGUUUGAAUUGAGUUCAUUAAGUACCUCGUCCUGCAAUUGUUAAAAAAAAUUAAAAAUAAAAAUAAAAAAAAAUAAAAUUGUAUAUAUUAUUUUUUCAAUCUGAAAAGAAAAAAACAGUCUUGAUAAAAAAAAAAAUACGAUGAGGAGUCAUCCAAACCUCUUGAGAUUGAUUGAGAGUCGUUGGAAAUUCAUUAUCAACAACAAAAAUGGAAUCACUUGAAAUCUCAUCCUACAAUUUUAGUAUUUACAUAAAAAUUAAAAAAUACAAAAUUAACAAUAAAAAAACACACACACACUACAACUUGAGAUAAUAAUACAAAAAUAUUCUAACCUCUUGAACUUCAUCGAGACUUUUUGAAUUGAAAUUACUAGGAACUUCAUCCUGCAAUUACAAAUAAAUUAUCCAAAUGUAUAUUUACAUCAUAAAAAAAAUAUCGCAAAAAAAAAUAAAUAAAUAAAUAAAUAUUGAACUUUAUCAAGUCAGCACCCAUAUGCUGACGAUUAAGUUUAGUAGUCAGCAUUGUUGUGAUGACCAUUGAGUACAACGGGCAACACUCUACUGUUGGCUUAAAAGGGGGCACACCCCAAUUAAAUAUGUCAACACACAUACGCUGACCAUUAAGUGUAGUCGUCAGCAUUGUAGUGUUGUUCAUUGAGUGCAGUGAUCAGUAUCAUAGUGAUGUCUUAAAAAGGCACACCCCAAUUAAACAUGUCAACGCCCAUAUACUGACCAUUUAGUGUAGUGGUCAGCAUUGUAAUGUUGACCCUUGAGUACUGUGAUUAGCAUCAUGGUGCUGACCUAAAAAUCGACCCUUUUUCUUUGUUUUAAUUGAAAAUAUCAUUAAAAUUACAGUUUACCUUUGAUGAUGGCGCAGGAGUUUUCCAUGAAUGUUUUUUUAUCAGAUCAGGCCAAUCUUCUUGUGGCGCGUACAAAUCUAGUGGUCUCUUCAAUAUACCACCUUGUAAUUCUUCCCAACUAAUUUCUUCGUUAUCAAGUCUAACAAAUGGAGCAACAUCCGAAUUUCCUAAAACCUUAAUAAAUGCAUCAAAGGCUUUAUUUAAUUUUUCGUGUUUCUUAUCAAAUUCAUCAUCAUCACUGCUUUCAUUAAUGAUAGCCAUUAAUGAACAAAGUAAAAAAAAAAUAGAUGUUUAAUGGUGGUUGUAAAAAGGCACACCCCUUUUUGAAUGAAGAGUUUAAUGGUGGGCACACACCUAUUAGAUAAUAUAUAUUAAUAAUGACAAUAAGAGUUUGAUGGUGGGCAAACACCUAUUAGAAUGAGUGACCUGUUAUAACAAGUUGUUCCAGGUAAAAUUGGGGUGCAUUUAAUUUUUUUUUAAUUAGGAUAUAAAUGUCAUUAUUUUUUUGUUUUGGAGUGUGCCUCUAGUAAAAUGGGGUGUGCCUUUAGCACAACCCUAAACAAAUCUAACAUACAGCCCAAUGGGCUUUAUGUAAUACUUUUGGCUGCCAAUAUAUACUUACUUCUACCAUGCAUACAAAAAGAGGUCCAUGCAUCAUCUUGAUUCAAUCUUCUUUCUUUGGUUUGAUGUUGUUUGGGUAAACUCUAAGCAAUCUCCACUUUAUUUCCAACUCCAUUACCAUAUCAUCCUUACUAUCAGCAUCAGCUUCUAAAUUUUCAAUGAUUGAGUUCAUCUUCUUGUUCAACUUGCUUAGUGUAUCUUCAUCUUCACUUCCUAUAAACUCUGCUAACAUAAAUAAUGCGAAAAAUAGAUUGGCAAACUGGUAACACAUCAAGGCAAACAAAGCAUACCCUAUAAAACAAAUAGUUGUCUCUUUAUAUCCAAAAAUUGCAACUAUUAAUCCCAACUCUUUAUCUCUAACUAUUAAUCCCAUAAAAAACGCGGCUAAAAACACUGUUAGCAUUGUAGGAAUUUUUACAAUUCUAAUUUUAGGAGCAUUCAAUAUUUCCAUGCUACAGGUUUGCUUAUAAGUAUGAGUACUGUAAUGUGAGGAGUUGAUCAGAUCUUCCAACAAUUUUUUUUGAGAUUUUUGGACAUACCCCCCAUUUGAAAGUCGAAAUUUGAGAUACCCCCAAUUCAAGAUGUGGUGUUAUCUUAGCCGUCCAUCAUAAAACUCACCUACGGCUGUAAAGCUCUUCUGUCUUGAAUUGGGGGUAUCUCAAAAAAAAUUUCAAAUGGGGUAUCUCAAAUUUCGACUUUCAAAUGGGGGGUAUGUCCAAAAAUCUCUUUUUUUUUUAUGGAAUUCCAACUCUUUAUAUAGGGUUUGGACUUUCUCAUGAUUUCCUAAUAAAUCGGACUGAGCCCAAAAUCUGCCGACCCAGUAUUUGGGCUUAAUUGCUUAAAUUGGGUUGUUAGAAAAUUAUCAAUCCAGUCCAUGAGGCCAACAUUGAUACUCCAAAAACAUUCUUGUUCACCACAUUCUGUGUCACAGACUCACAGUGUGUGUUCAUCACUUUAUCAUCCAUGGCAGAUUCUUACAAGAAAUUCGAGAUUAGGAAGAAAAACCCAAAUCCCAAAUCAUCAGUUUUAUUAGUAAUCGACAUGCAAAACUAUUUUUCCUCCAUGGCAAAACCUAUAAUUCCCAUUAUCAAAACCACCAUAAAUCUAUGUAGAAAAGCUUCAAUUCCCAUAAUCUUUACACGCCAUUCACAUAAAUCGCCAUCAGAUUAUGGAAUGUUAGGAGAAUGGUGGAAUAAUGAUGUGAUCAUCGAUGGGACAAUUGAAGCGGAGUUGAUAACAGAGAUUGGAAGACAGAAUGAAGAUAAAAUUGUUGAAAAGAAUACUUAUAGUGCGUUUCAAGGAACAGGAUUAGAAGAGUAUUUGAAAGAAAAGGGAAUUGAAGAAGUGAUUAUAACGGGUGUUAUGACGAAUUUGUGUUGUGAAACAAGUGCAAGAGAAGCUUUUGUUAGAGGGUUCAGGGUAUUUUUCUCGACUGAUGCAACUGCUACUUCGAGUGAAGAAUUACAUGAUGCAACAUUGAAGAAUAUGGCUUAUGGGUUUGCUUAUUUGAUUGAUUGUUCAACACUUGAAGAUGGUUUUGCUGGAAAAUGAUCAAGUUUUAAUGUUUCUAUAAAUUCUAUGUAUGUAGAUAUAGGUUUGUUUGAGUUGUGAUUGCAGCCUGCAGGUGUAUUCAGGUUUUCUUCUUUGUAUUGCUAAGGCCAAAUGGCCGGAAACUUGAUCGGAAUAUGACCGGGAUCAUAGCUGGUUAGAUGGGGAGUUAUCGUCAUGGACACGUGUUCUUUUGCAUGUGUCUUGUUGUUGUUUGUUGCGGGUCCAUGGCUUAUCUAUUUGGCCCAUGGGCUAGGGUGCAGUUUUUAAUUUGUAACUCUUGCAUUUUGCUUAUCAAUAAAAUAUAUGCUAAUUGUGUUAAUGUAGAAAAAUUAAAAUAAAUAAUAAUAGUCAAUUAUUCACCCAAUCAAGCCAAUCGGUGAUCAAGUUUCAGAUAAUAACUUGUCUAAGCAAAAAAAAGAAAAAAAAGAGUAGCUUAUUGAGACCAAGGUCACCCCAACCUGCAUUCCAUUCCCAAACCUGGCAGACAUUUUUGAUACUCACAUUUGCUGUUGUUGCUUCAGCAUUUCCUUAUCUAUACAAAUUGUAUGGUUUUCUCCUUUUCUUUUUAAGUCCUUAAGAUAUUGGUCACGCAUCUAGCAGUAGAUCAAGGUUUACAAGAUAUUUGUAAGCAAUAAUUACUUGUAUUUGUUUAUUUUUAUGUAUCUCAACAAUAAUUUGUGUUUGUAAAAUAUUUGAAGAGUAUUGAUCAUCCCCAAGAUACAUGAAAACAUGCAAAUAUAUGAAUAAACUCGAACUUUGCAAGAUUUGAAGUGCUUAAAUAAUGAAAACAAAGAAGGUGAAGAAGAGAUAUUUCUACCUAAGAUUAAGGUGGAAGAGAAGAUAUUAUGAUACAUAGUUUUGGAAGGAGAUUAAGAGAAGAAUGGUUGAGAUUUUUGGUGGAUGAAGAUACAUGGUUUUUGUUGAAGGAGAUUGGGAGAAAAAAUCAUAGAGGUUUUUUGUGGAAGAAGGAAACUUUGGAGAAAUAUAAUUGGCCCCGAUUUUAUUAGAUUUUACUUUUUAUAAGUAAAAAGCUAAUAUUUUGGGCUUUGCAAAAAAACAAAAAUUUUGCUACAAAAAAGUAAUUUUUUGUCAUGACCAAACAUAUAUUUUUUAUUUUUUUAGUUUACACAAUUACACAGUUAAAAAGUUAUUUUUUAUGUGUGUUGCCAAACACCCCUAUACCCAAUUUACCACUUCCAGAAGUCAUUGUGAGGUCCUGGUCUUUGACGGUAUUCAGUUGGAAUAAUAUGGUAUAUUCAAUAUUGUUAUCCAUAUUUCUCUUAUAUGUUUUUAUAGACUUUUUAUUUGUCUGAUGAUUUAUUUUACAAUAUUAUAGGGUAAUGAGGAAGCUCCAGAAAGUGCAGCGCGGAGAAGAUGAGAAGAAAUUAGAGGCAGAAGAUGGUUCAAAGUCCUUAGCUACAAUGACGUCUCUAACUAAGAGAGUUGGUGAUGAGAAUACAAAAAUUAAAGCUCUAACUACAUCUGGAGAGCAAGUCAAGGCAGCUCAUGGCAUAUAAGCAUAUUAGAAGGGCAAGAGAUCGACUUGCACUAGUUUUGUCUAAUAGUAUUAGGUUUUUCUAUGACAAUAUAUGGGAUUAUAUAUCAAUUGUCGAUUUUGAGCAUUAGUUGCAGGUUUCUCUAGUCUCUGAAGUUGGUGUGUUCUGUGACUUUUGUCUAAUAAUUAUCAUGUUUAUUGGGACAUGAGUGAAUUAUAUAUGCGAAUAAUUAAUGUGUGUUCAGCUAAUAAUUAUUUAUCAUUUUUUAUAUUUUUAUUUGUACUGGUUUAAUUUAUUAAAAAUUACUUUUUAGCACGGUCCAACUCUUGAAAUACCAGAAAAAGACGACUGCACAAAAUAGUUCCCUCUUACUACAUGGCCCACUACACAAAUGGUUCAGUAGUUGUCUGCUUAGGAAUAUUUCCCACACUACCCUCAUGCUAAAAACAAAUUAUGUGUCAUUCCUUUAUUUAAACCCAAUGCAAUCAAAAUAUAAAUCAGACCUAAGAUUUUUUUUAGUUUGUUCCGCAAUUGUUGAAAAAAAAAACUUUUUGAACUUAGUAAUUUCAUCUCUUACUCUUCAAUAUCCAUUGACAAUGGGAAAAUGGUGAUAACACAUUGACAAUGGGAAAAUGGUGAUAACACAUUGACAAUGGGACAAUAGUGAUAGCUCAAGUGAGAUUAGAUCUAAAUAUAUAGCGAUGAAAAAAGUCUCCUUUGUAUAUUAAUUCAAGAAAAGGGGUUCUUCUAGUGUCGGGUUAGUUUAAAAUUGAAAUCAAAGGGGGAAUUUGGAAGUGAUGGUGUAUAGAAAUCAAAACUAGAUCUGGCAAAGACGGAGGAGAAGGAGGAGGAGGUGAUUGAGUGAUUGAUAAUAUGAUGAAUUUAAUGAAAAUGUCCUCAAACCAUAUUCAUAAAAGAAAUUGAUAGUUGUUAAUUAUAAAAAAAAUAUAAAACAACUUUUGAUAUAUGUUGGUAAUCCAUCUCCAUUAAUUUUUUUUCCAUUUUUAUCCCAUAUAAAAACGGGCAUAAGAACGAUCCUAUGGUUUUUUCUCUCGUCUUCAUUUUAACUCUCAAGUAGCUAGAUAAUAAUAAUAAUAAUAAUGGUAAUCGAUCAACAUAUAUAUCUACCAGUAAUCAAAGGUUUUCAAGAAGUUUGUAAGCAAUAAUUAAUUUUAAACUCAUAUAUGUGAGACAUCAGGCAAUAGUGCCAUAUGUACCGUAGUUAGAAAGAUCAAAGAAGUUCUUUUAUUUUGCAAAAAAACAAUUAAACAUAAAAUAGUAUUGGAAGUUUGGAACCGUAAAUAAUGGUGAUUAUAUUGCACUUCUACCUACAACAAUACAUGACCAUUUCAACCAUUAAUCUGAACACCAACAAUUCCACUAAGAGCAUUCCCAAUGCAAGGUGCAUUUGGGAGGUGGGGUGGAUAAAUCCACAUUUUUUUUUAUAAAUAUUCUCCCAAGGGAAGGUGGAUUUUAAAAAGUGGGAACUCACAGGUGGAUUUCAAGGUGGGAGAAUUCACUUUGAAAUCCACCUUGUGGAUAAGAACCGGACGACAUGUCAUAUUUUUUUCUAAGUUUUACGAAGUGUUUUAAAACUUUUGGUCUCUCGGACGGCAUGCGACAUGUCGUCUCCCUAUUUUAUUGCAAAAAAAACAUAGGACAGCAUGUGACAUGCCGUCCGGAUUUUUAAAAAAAUCCACUUCCUAUAACAAAGAGUCCACCUUCCCUUGGGAACUCUCCACCUUGUAGAGUUUCACUUUGAGUCAGCAAGGUGGAUUUAUCCUAGUGGCGCAUAUGUUGGCGCAUAUGUGGCACCUACGUGGAGGUGAAUAAAUCCACCUUGCAUUGGGAAUGCUCUAAAUGAAAAGAGGAAUGCUUGCAUAAAAAAAACAAGAGAGGAAUGCUUGCCAUUAGGGGUGGGCAAAAAAACCGAAAAACCGAAAACCGAACCGAAAAAACCGAGUCAAAACCGGUCAAAACCGAGUUGACUAAAAACCGGUCAAGACCGGACCGAAACCGAACCGAACUAUAUAGCUAUUGGUCCGGUCUCGGUUCUUGUUUUUAUAGAACCGAGUGAACCGAACCGAACCGAAAUAAAUAAAAAAAUAUUUUUUUUAUUAGUAAAUUACUAAACUAGACAUAGGAAUUAGUAAUUGGUUGUGGGCUUAUGGUGGAUCCAUGGUUGGUUCAUUGGUUUUGGACCUUUUUCCUAUUUAGUACUUGAUUUGGUGUAUGUCUUAUUUUGUUUAAAGCCCAAAACUUAAAAAUAAUCAUCUAAAUUGUAGUGGACUAAAGGCCCAAUAAAAAAGCCCAGGACCGAGUUUCAGACCGAAACCGGACCGAUUGUAUUUGGUCCGGUUCGGUCCGGUUUCAUUCAAAUAAUUUCGGUCCAUGGACCGAAACCGAACCGAUACUUUCAAGUCGGUUUGGUCCCGGUCCUAUUACAUUUUAGGACCGGACCGGACCGUGCCCACCCCUACUUGCCAUGUUGUUUUGUGACUUUCCCAUCGCUGCACAUGCAUGCACAGGCAGAAGAAAGCCUACUUGUGUGUGUAAUUAAUUAAGGGAAAUCAUACUGCCACCCCAGUAGUUUACAAAGAGCUAUCCCGUUUUUUUAGUUCACCCCACCAAAAAUAAUUUACCUUUAGGGCACCAAUUCUACUAUGAGCCACCCGUCAAAAAGAAAAUCUCUUCUCUCCAUCUCUUCACUCUUUGUCUCUCUCACUGUGUUUUUCCAUUAACAAAUAACGACAUACAAUCAGAUCAAAUAAGUGCUCAAUUUUUUUUGUAAUCUAUAUUUUCUAAUUAAAUUCUUUUUUAUUUUUGAAAUUAUCAUAAAUAUGUUUCUCCAGUAUCUUCUAAUUAAAUUCUUUUUCAAUUUCGAACUACAAUUUUUAAUUUUAUUUACACGAACAAAGACGGUGUUAUUGAUAGAUUUAAUAUAUUGAAUUCUUGGGUAAAUCAAAGGAGGGGACUGAUGCAAGUUCAAUUUUAUUUGAACCCCACUGCACGCUAGCCAUCAACCAUUUUGUUUCCACCCAUCACAUUGGAACAUGUUUUUUUUGCCAAAUUAUUUCUUCUUUUUUCCAUUUGAUUUUGAUAUAUGCUAUGUGUUCCACUAUUUUUUAAAUCUAGAUCGGAAAGAUGAAGGAUUGAAUGGUUUAUGUGGGCGGGUGGCUCUUAGUAUAGAGUGUACAUAAGUUUUUUAAGAGUUCUUGUGAUAAGUGGGAUAGCUCUUUGUAAACCGCCGGAGUGGCAAUAUGAUUUCCCUUAAUUAAUGUUGAUGUUGUGAUUUCAUAUUUUCAUGGAUCCAUGGAUUAGCCCAAGAACUCGAUUAGUAGACAUGCACCCACCAAAAUCCCAAAGCCCAAAACAAGUAACUAAUUGGGUUGAAAAUGAUCCAAUACAGGACCCAUUUCGUUCGUGGAUGGGAAAUUGGGAAUAUGGGAUAUGGGUCGUUCUUAUGCCCGUUCCGUUGCAGAGCUUUUGAUCUCAAGUUGAACUGAACGAACGAUGUCACUACUUAAUCAACUGUUCAGUAGAGGUUUUCUUGGAGCAAAAUGGUAUACUUCUGAUUUGUUCUUGUUUUCAUGUCAAAUCAAGUUUAUGAAUUAAUAGAUCAUCUAAUUAGCUUACUUGUAUCUUUUUAGUAAUUUUUAUUAUAUAGUUUUUAGUUUGAUAUGUCAUGAUUUGCCUUCUCUUGACUUCAAGUUCAAUUUUUUUGUGUAAUCAAGAAAUGCCCACAAGUCUAUGUUGCAUUUCAGGAAGUGGGUAUCCUUCAUUUCUCAAAAAAUUUGUGUUUUUUUGAUAGAUUGUGUUGUGCAAACUGCAAACUAACUGUUUUGGGGAUAUAGGUUUUUGAUCAUAAUUACUAUACUAAAUUGUUAUUAGUUUCCAGUAAAUUAAUUAAUUGUUAGUAAGGAAAAAAAUCUUUAAAGUUUGUUCUUUACAUAGUUGAUGAUAUUCAUUAUAUUAUUGCAGCAAGACAUGCUUAAACAUGGCCAUUUCGCGCAUCAAAUUGUUGCAAAACAAGAGACAGUUACAGCUGAAUCAAAUGCGCAAAGAAAUAGCUCAAUUCCUUCAAACUGGACAAGAAUCCAUUGCUCGAAUCCGGGUACUAAAUGAAUGAAUUUAUAAUGCUCAUUUUAAAUGGGUUUUUUUUCUCUUUGGUAUUUGAGUUAGUUUUCUUUCCUGCACUUUUGUUAGGUGGAGCAUGUCAUACGCGAAAUGAACAUGCAAGCUGCAUAUGACAUUUUAGAGUUGUUCUGUGAAUUUGUUUAUGCACGAGUUCCUAUUCUUGAAAGCCAGAGGUAAAUUUCUUUUUUCACAGGAUCGUUACAUAUGCUUGAUCUAAAUUAUAUUACUCGGAUUUAUAUGUAGACGUAGUGGACUAAGUUUGAAAUGUUUAAUUUUAUUGGAUCCUCUGCCCUCUCGGCUCUCAGUCGACAUUGUAAGAGUUAAUAAGAACUCAUAUGCAUCCUCAAUAUCCAAUAUACUUAAAUAGGUCCUCCCUUCUUGUAUAUAUCUUGAUAGGUGAAAAUUUCAUUAUCAUGUAUGAUGAAAAGUUGAAAACCAAAAAGAAAUGCGAUAUCCCUUGUACAAAGCAAGAGAACAAUACAGAAAAGAGACCUAAAACUCAGAGAAAAGACAUUGGUGCAUAGCAUCCCCUUUGAGUAAUUCUGUCCCAAGCAAACACAAGGACUCAAAGGACAUCUCCUGGUCUUCGUGCCACUCAUCGUACAUAUAUUUUAACGGAUCAGUUGACGGGAGAUGACGUAUUCCUGAAUUAUAUCAAGGGAUUUCUCUAAGUCUAUAAUUUCAAAACAUGGCCAUCAUUGUUCAAACUUCAAAGUAAAAUUGUUAUUUGAAUUAAUUAGCAAUAUUAGGAAAAUUUACUCUUGAGGAUUACUCAUCUUUUUAGGUAUUUAUAUUCUUCUACCACGUCAGGGACUGUCCUCGGGAGUUGCAAGAAGCUAUUGCAAGCAUAAUCUUUGCUACUCCAAGAUGUUCAGAUUUGCCAGAAUUGCUGCAGGUUCGAAGUUUGUUUACUUCUAAAUAUGGAAAGGAGUUUGCUUCAGCUGCAUCUGAGCUUCGGCCUGACAGUAGCGUUAACCGUGCUGUAAGUUAGCUCUCAUUACUCCAGUGUGUCGUUUCACAAUACUUAAUUUGAGUGCUGAAGCCUCCAACUUGAAUGGUGUUCAUUAUCUCUAUUCCCAUUAUCUGUAGAUAAUUGAGAAGCUCUCGAUCAAAGCCCCAUCCGCAGAAGCGAAGCUUAGCGUUCUGAAGGAAAUUGCUAAAGAGUACCAUCUAGAAUGGGAUGCUUCUACUACUGAAGCAGAGUUUUGUAAAAAACACGAAGAUCUUCUGGUAUUUUCGUUUACAACUUUACAUGCUAAUUUAACAUUAGUUUCAUUUUUCUUAAACAAGAGAGACUAAUAGUAAUCACAUCCUUAAUAGAUUAUUAUUAUUUUUUGAAAACGAUAGGACGUAUACAGCAUUAUUAAAAGGCAAAAUAUGGAGUGAGGUCUUGUGCACCAACUUCAGCAUUAGUAGUGUAGGGAUUUGUAUCAUUCAUGUUUAUGGGAUUUCAUUUGUAGGAUGGAUCAAAUAAGAUGCGGAAUGGAGCUGCAGAUAUUCAGUCACCUGCUACCGCUACAAGGGCCUCUCAUGACUUGUCAGAGGCCAGUGAAGGGCAUCCCAUAAUCCCCAGUAACCAGUACUCAAGAAAUCAGAGUCUCGAAUCUGCUCGUGUUUCUGUCAGAAACAUGUCUUUAGUCAGUCCUGACGAAUCUAAACUAUCAGUUGGUAAUCAGAAUGAGAGAAUAGUGGACAAUGCUAAGAUGGGGACAACUUCAUCAGGCGCAUGUGAUGCAAUGGAAAUGGCUCGAAUUGCCCUUGCUUCCGCAGAGCGCGCUACUGCUGCUGCCCGCAGAGCUUCCGAGCUUGUAAAUGUUAAGAGUAGGGUGUCAUAAUUAAUCUGGUAUACAUUUUGAUAUUUACCCUCAAUACUCAAUAGGAAAAAAAAAGCAGAAAAUAAUUGUGUAUUUUUUUAUUUUUUUUUUGUAAUAUGGAAUGCCUAGAUAUUGCAAGACGAUUAUCGAAAGAGAGCAUAAACUUGUUUACGGCCAUAAAAAAAACACACUGAACAUUUACUUCAUGUUACGGUCUCGUAGAAAACAAAACACAGUGAAUAUAUAAACCAAACAUCAAACUUGAUUGUUUUCCAGCUAAAACUUCCUCAAGUAAGCAUUACUGCAUUAGCAUCAGUGGAGAAGAAAACCCAAAACUAGACAGGGCAAUGAAAUGGGCCUAGUUUGGGCCAGAGACCCAAAUCCACAGAGGUUUGUUUGUAUUUGACUGAGUAACUGGGAUUCUAUAAGCGAAUCUUCCACGCAAGUAAUAUGAUUACGUCAUUACUUACGUCAACAUUAUCACCCUGUUUCUCUUCUUCGUCAUCGUCAUUUGUUUUUGUUGCAGAACAUUGUUAUAGAUUUUGUGAUUUGUUUUCGAAUGAAAAAUGGCUUCAGAGAUAAGAUUUGAAGGUAUUAGUGAUGAAUUACAGAAGAUUCUAGAUGCAGAUAUGGAAGAAGCACCAGCAAGACGUCGUGCUCGUGAAGCUUUUAAAGAAAUACAACUUGGGAUUGAUCAUGCAUUGUUAAAGGUGGAAUUUUUAUCUAAUUUUGAAAUUUGGGUUGUUUUUUAAUCAAUCGAAUUAUAUAAGUUUUAGUUAAAGUUUUCAUCUUUAUGAUUUACUUUUUAAUACAUGAUAUGACUUUUCCAUGUAAAACUUCACUUUGAUUGUAAAUUAGAUGGUGGAUUUGUUUUUCGGAAUGCAGACCCUUUGACAUUUGUAAAUUAGACGGUGAUAUGUUAAACAAUAUUUUCCACAUUUCCUAUUUCUGCAUUACAAUAAUCAUGCCCAUUGCUAGCUAGCAAUGAAAUGGAAGCUAUGACAAUAAUGAAUUGCAAUACAAACGCCAUGUGUGAUGUGUCAUUAGUCGAUGUAACAAUUAGUUUCUCCAAUAAGUAGGAUGAUCAUAGGAUUACGCUACUAUGGGAAUCUUAAAUGCGGGUGACUAUCAAGAUUAGAAGUUAGUUGUAGUAUCAUGGUCCUAAGUUAUUCGCAUAGUACUGCUCUUUUUAGGAAUGUGGAUGCUUAUGUACUAUUCUGUCGUAAUAUAAUGGGGGAAUCAGUAAUGCUCGAUGCGUCUAUAAUGAAUUUGUUGUGUCAGUUAUUACACUUUGGAUGAUACCGGAAGUAUUUAUUUAUUACAGAAUUUUGUUCAUGUACAUAAGAUGAUUCUGAUAAGCAUGCACAUCAGUGUGCACCUUUUACUCAUGUUUUUAUACUGUUGGUCAUUUGAUCUUUGGAUUUUCCUGAAGAUGUUUCUGUGCCUUCUUAUCGUUUUUUUCUUGUGAUUUAUUUUCUUAUUGCAAGUAUUGGUUUUUUUUUUUUUAGAUAUUCUUCUGGAAAUUUUUAUUUGGGCAACUAUUUUGAUACAGAUUACAGAACACUCUCUAAUUUUCUCCAAAUUCUAAUGCUGGGUAAAGAUAGCAAAAUGAGAUAAUUAAUAUAUUACUUGUCGCUGUGUUGCAGAUGUCAUACGAUGACUUGAAGAUGGAGGAGGUAACUUAUAAAGUUCAAUGUAUUUUAUGUUAUUUUAUUAGUGCUCUUUAUAUAUAUAAAGAUAGAAAUUUUCACGAGCUUGGAAUGUAUUGAAAUUCAAUGUAUUUUAUGAAAUUCAAGGGAUUUUGCAAAGUCUUUUAGUUAUUUCUGCUUGAAUGGCAGUUGAUUUGCUUGAUUCUGCAACUUCCUCUUAUCAGUUAUAUGAGAUGCUUGAUUCAUGAACUUUAACCGACUACUGAUUCCAGAUGCUUUUAUACAGUCUUAUGAGAAGAACUCUCGAGGGUUUGAAAUUUUCUCAAAAUGUUGGCUUCCAAAGACCUCUCCAUUAAAAGCAUUGGUUUGCUUUUGUCAUGGUUAUGGAGACACAUGCACAUUUUUCGUUGAAGGCAUGUAGCACUUGACAUUGUUUGCCAAAUAGUUCACAUAUCCUGUUUAAUCAUUGUUGGACUUGAACUUAAGCAUCCAUGAUUUAAUCUUCACAGGAUUUGCUAGGAAGUUAGCAUCUUCUGGAUACGGAUUUUUUGCAAUGGAUUACCCUGGAUUUGGUCUUUCAGAUGGUCUUCAUGGCUACAUCCCCAAUUUUGACAGUCUUGUAGAUGACGUGAUUGAGCAUUUCACCAAAGUGAAAGGUGUUUUACCAUCUCUUUUAUAGUUGAAAAUAUGCCUUAUUUUCUCGAUAUUUUGAUUGUAAUUUCUAAAUCCCUCCUAUUUGGAGGCUGCAAAUAGUCAAAUACUAUGAACAUUGGCAUAUAUGUUUAUUCUACUAAUGUGAAAGGCUGUGUAUUUUGUAAAUUUCUCACAUAGGACUUUGGCCUAUAGUAUGUUUAUUCUACUAAUUUGAAACACAUAUUGCAUGUAGUUGCGUAAGUUAAGAAAGUAUUCAAAUUAGUUGAUCCUAGUACGCAAGGCGAUUUUUCUAUGAAUAUUUUGCUGCAUGUGGAAAGAGUGUCAACUAUGUGCAUAUGGUUUACUAGUUAUCUGAUGAAGUAGUCAAUUAUGCAAAACGUCCCAUCACAUAUUGCGUAAAAGAAAAAAAGUAGGUAUGCAUAUACUAUCAUUAGCAUGUUACUGUCCUGAGGUGGUAUGCCAUACGUACACCCUUAAAUAAUGCUAUUAAUCUACACUUAAAUUCUGUAUUACUUCUCACGUUUUUGUUUGUUUGGUAUUUUGGUCGACAGAAACACAGGAGUACCUAAGCCUCCCAAGUUUUUUGUUUGGGCAGUCUAUGGGUGGAGCAGUUGCUCUAAAAGUUCAUUUGAAACAGCCUAAUGCGUGGGAUGGUGCUAUUCUUCUUGCUCCUAUGUGCAAAGUAUAUUCCUGACCUGGACUUAUUUGGAAUACUUGUUGGAUGAGUAUAUUCACAUUUUAACUAUAAUAUCUAUUAAUAGAUUGCAGAUGAUAUGGUUCCACCUUGGAUAGUGACACAGCUUCUUUUUGGUAUAGCUAAGUUUGCUCCCAAAGCAAAGUUAGUUCCUCAAAGUAAUUUCACAGAUAUGGCAUUCAGAGACUCGAGAAAGAGGACACUGGUUAGUCUCUCUUUCGUUAUAAACUGGGAAAUUUAAUUAUAGAGAGAAAAAAAAAAAAUUUAAUGAAUACGGGAACCUCUCAUGGUGUAUCUUAGAAGUGAAUGUGGAGGUAAUGGAGGAUUUCACACUAUUGCUCCACAGCUUAGCAACACCAGCAGGUGGAUUCACCAUUACAAAACUAAUGAGACUCUUAUGGGCUGGAAAGCAACAAAAUAGACUUUUGUGGAACCAUGGUGUCAAAACCUUUUUCUCAUUAAUAUAAAAUUUGUAGUCUUUGAAGCUUUUUUAUUUUACACAUGCAUUGUCACUCACUUGCGCUACAUAUUUGACUUAUGCUAUUUUUCUCUGGCAAGUGUAGGCUCCCUAUAAUGUGAUUGCAUACAAACAUAAACCACGGCUGCGAACUGCCGUAGAGUUGCUCAAAACCACUGAAGAAAUAGAACAUCGAUUGGAAGAAGUAUGACAUUUCCUUCUCUCCUCGUCAUUUAUCUAAUAUCAGCUUUUCUGGGGAAGUAAAGUCUUCGUUUUUCAUUACUGAGCAUUGGUCGAUGUUUAGUAAUCUAUAAAAUUUGUUAAUACCUUGCAGGUUUCUCUGCCAUUGUUGAUACUGCAUGGAGAGGCUGAUAUGGUCACUGAUCCAUCAGUAAGUAAAGCUUUGUAUGAGAAGGCAAGCAGUUCAGACAAGAAGCUUCUUCUUUAUAAUGAUGCUUAUCAUUCUCUUCUUGAAGGUGAACCUGAUGAGAUGAUAUUCCGAGUUCUAGGUGACAUAGUCUCCUGGCUCGAUGAGCACAGUAACAAAAAAUCUGUUGCUAAUUAAUUGAUUAUUCUUUCUGUAUAUGAUUACUUAAAGCUCUAUUUUUUAUGAACAUGGGAAUAAAUCAAUAAUUGUUGGUCAGAACUUCAUUUUGAGAUCCUUGAUCUAUUAGAAGGAUUUUCUAUUGUUCAGUACUCUAGUCGUUUUCUGUCUUACUUUCAUUAGCAUCUAAUGCACUUGCAUUUCCAUCUCCUCUGCCUCAAACUGAGUCUGUGUAUAGACCAUUGACGUUCAACCAGUGCUUUAGACGUUUGUCGAGCAAAAUUAUCACCUAAAGGCAUGUAAAAGUAGGCAACUCAACACAAAUGUGUGCAACUGUUUGGGUUGGUUGUUUGUAGCACUAAUUAAUCAAGUUAUCUUCUGGUAGAGCAACAGAAUACCCUAUUUUAUAGCAAAAUACUCAGAUAGUCAGAUUCAGAUUUGAUGCACUGUGAAACAGUUAUGGUUGUGGAUUAUCACAUAUUGAGAUGAAAUCAGAGGUCAAAUAAUGUGAGGAAAACUAAUUUUUUGCAGUUUUAAUUAUACAUAAGUUUUGCUGAGUAGACGACUGGAAGAAGGAUAGUUAUGAAGUCAAAAUGAAACAGGAAGGAUCAAACUGCCAGAAGUAGAGUUUUUCAUUGGGAUUUUUUUUACUACAGAAAUGUGGAAGCCUCGUCAUUGUGAUGAGGUGUCAAUACACUUAUACAUAUGUAUUAUCCAUCUAUGCACAAAUGCACAAUGAUGUUGCGCUCAACAAAAGGACUCCGCUUAUUAUACUCCCUUACCACUAGAAGUUAGCUAGUGAUAUAUGUAACACCUUAUUUUAACAAUUUCUCGCGUUGAUUCACAAAUUAACACCCUGAAUAACAUGGCAAUGGGAAAUUGACAAUAAAACAAAUAAAUUAAGAUGCCACAAAAAGUGUUUACAGCAACAGAAUAGAAAUUUCGUGGGAUAGAUCAAAACCAAAAAUUCUACUUAACUGUACAGCGAGAAUCAAGCCACGCCACAAUGUCAGCCAGGACUGUAAAAAUCCUUUCAUCUGGCUCCCCUUCAAGAAUACAGUGAUAACCUUCUGGAUACAGCUUAAGAGUCUUGUCCUUACUAGAAGCUUUCUCAUAGAGAAACUUGCUCACCGAGGGAUCUGUCACCUUGUCUGCAGCUCCAUGCAGAACCAGCAAUGGAGAUGAAACCUGUUGUAGGAACAAUCACUAAUAGUAACAAUUUUCGCCAAAUGGUGUUAUCCGCUUAUACGACAGAGCAUAGACAAUUACUGACAAAAUAGGAAACUGGUAAUCACUUAAUGACAAUCUUCAUAACAAAUUCAUUCUCUAAUUUACCAAAGAUCGACAAACCAAAGGCAGUUGUGGACUAUCGAAUGUUUGUUUGUCCAAAGCUGAUUAUAAUUGUGAUCCAUAAUUCUUCUCCGUUGUUUUUCAAUUUCUCAAGUGCAAAAACUUCAUAUUUUGGUUGAGUGUUUGUUAUUUUCCCAAUUAGUCUUAAUUUCCUUCUUUCCAUUUACCUUCUAGAUAAAUAUAUGGGGCUCAAAGGGUGAUUAUUUUUUUCUUCCCGCUAACCUGGCUCAGAAGGUCAAUCAUAACAUUUUUUUAAGGUUGUCAAUCAUCGAAUGAACAGAUAGGUUUUUUUCCCGUCACAAAAUUAAGCAAGAUAUACCAAUGAAGGGAGCUGAUGGUAACAGAACAACGAUGCUUGAGGUCAGCCAUAUGGCUCUGAUAAAUUUGACAAAUUAAUACAUUCCCUGGAUCAUCUCUUUCCCAUGAGGCCAUGACAGAAAGGUGAUACUUCCAACAACAGGGGCAGUUUCUGAUUUCUAGCCCAAUUCUACACACAUUUCAGCUUUAUGCUUAUAUAUGUGCAUAUUCCUGUACAUACACAUUUCUAGAUGUAUAUGCAUGUAAUUAUCAUUAUAGCUAAUCACUUAAAGGAGAUUACCUUUUCCAAUUGUGACUCUAUCUCUUUUGUGGCCUUCAAAAGUUCCAUAGCAGUCUUUAGGCGCAUUUGAUCAGAGUAUGAAAUUACGUUGUAGUCAGCCUACAUGCAACAGUAUAAGAAAUUAUAAACAAGAUUAUUUCAUCUAAAUAUAACAAAAUGAAAUAAAAAUAAAUAAUGAUUCAGUUGAAUUAGUUAACUGUUUAAUUUUGUUUUCAUUUGAAAUUAUCAGUUAUGUGAAUAGUAUUAUAGGAUCUGGGAGUCGAUAUUUUGUACUUCCACAAACACCAUGUAUACUUUCAUCUGAACAUUACAUUAACGAAGAAAGAUCGAAAAGAAAUAAAACACUGCCAACAUAUAAUUAGGAUCGCUUCAAGAAAAGGGAAUGCCCUGUGCAAACCUUUGGUUGUGCAUUGAGAUGCAUAAAAGUUCGAUACAACAUAAAAAAAACAUAUUUUUGUGCAUCUCAAUGCACAAUAAGCACUCUGCCUGUCUGCCAGAUAAGAGAAUGAGAUUGUCACCUUAGCCUUUGCUUAUAAAUUAUGUUUUUACAAAGUAAAAGCAAUCCAUCAUAUCACGUUUUAAAGCUUUGUUGGUAUAUGAUUAUUCUUGUGGAGAACAGAAGUCCAAAGAAGUUUCAGGAAAAGAAAGCUAGCAAGCAUACAACUCACACUAGAAGAUUUAUACAUUUAAUCACAUGAUGUUAGCAACAUCAAUAAGGAAAAGAAGACUGGCUUUCCCAUUAUACUUUCAGUAGCCUUUAGAGAAUUAUGAAUUGGCUCCUGUCAAGCUACGCUAAAGUCAUGCCAAUAAAGUGCCUUUUAGUCUACCGAACGAGAUGUGUCCAUUGUGAAGCAUAAAAUAGAAUCACAGAGAGCAGAAAAAAUUACAAGAAUGAGAUAUAAGGGUGCCCUUUAAACUGACACUCCCAUCAAGAAUUACAAGAACUUUACAGGCCCAUGUCGAAUUUUGUAUAACAAUCAACAAUUGAAGAUAUACCUACCAUUUUCUUUUUGCUGGUUUCUCUGAAAGCAAGAUCCCCUAAAUUGUUUUCUGGGACAAGUUUCGCUUCAGGGAAAAGAUUUGAUAUCAGCGUCAAGAUCUUUACGACUACUGGCGCAGGUUUCACAUCUUCUGCAAUCUUAAGAGGGAAAACAAUGCCAGUGAAUUUCUCUGUUGAUGGAGCUAUGCUGCUGCUAUAACUAGCAAUGUGAAUUUAACGAUAUCAUGUCAAUUAACCACUUUCUUACCUAGGGUAUAAAGUCAAAAGAACAAAUGAAAUUCAAUGAAAGCAUUGCAUUCGAGAUAAUUCUUUAAGGGUUCAGCAAAUCAACUAAAUUAGAACACUAUGCUUAAACUGAUGAGCUUACUUUACACAUUGGGGCUACAAGAAUCACUCCAUCCCAAUCAGUUGGUCGUUUUAGAUGAGCCUUGAUGGCAACAGCACCUCCCAUUGACUGUCCUAAUAAGAAUCGAGGUACUUCUUUGGCUUCUGGCCUUCCUGCAGAAAUUAAUCAAAUUGAAUUCACUACAAUGUAAAAUUGCCAUCAACAAUAAUACAUCAGUACCCAAUGUUCCACAAUGUAUAGCGCACCUUUCAUGCUUGUAUAUCGUUCGAUCACAUUAUUGACUAGUUCAUCAAAGCUUGGUAUAUAACCGUGUAAGCCUUCAGAGAGACCAAACCCUGGAUGAUCAAUAGCAUAAACCGCAUAACCAGAUUCCGCAAUUCUCUUGGCGAUUCCUGAAUCACUAAUUCCAACAUAUUACACAUGAAUUCCAUAACAUGUUGAUUAUCUUAAUUUCAUUAACUCUAAAAAACUAUAAAAAAAAACUGCUUACCAUCAAAGAAAAAUGUGCAUGUAUCGCCAUAUCCAUGACAGAAACAAACAAUAGCCUUAAUUUUAACAUCCCUUUUAGGUAACCAGCUUUUGCAGAAGAUCUCAAAACCCUUUGAGUUCGUUUCAAACCACUGCAAAAAUUGACAAUUUUACCCUCUAAAGUACUUAAAAUGGAAAGAAAUUAAAGAAAAAUAAAACAUUUCUAAUGAUCAAAAGCACUUCUUAAUAAAUGCUUACCUCCUCUGUUCUGAUCCCCAAAGGUGCCAACUAUACAACAAAAUCAAACUUCAAAUUACUUAAAAAAUGUUGAAAAAAAGGGUGAAACAGAGGAUACCCAUUAUUUACUAAAAAUAAACAAAACCUUAAAUAAAGGAUGAUCAAGCUGUUGUUGAGCUUCAAUAAAAGCAGAACGAACACGUCUACGAGCAGGAGCAAAAUCAAGCUUCUGUGAAGCAAUUGAGUUGAGUUCUUCACUUACACCUUCAAUGUUCUUGAGUUUUUUCUCAGCUACUGCAACAAUUUUAGGAACAAAAUCCAUUAUUUUUCUACUAAAUCUGCGUUUGGGAGAAAUGGGUAGUUGAUAGAAUUUCGAAUUUCCGGAUAGAAGAUCUGAAUUCCGAAGAAACAGAGCUAGUUUUGCAGGUUUUUGCUUCAAAGUGAAAUCCAUGACAGAAGCAGAAAAAGUGUUUACAGAAAAUUCCAUAAGAUGCACUAAAACGUUAUGGUGGUGACUUGUGUGGAAGGUGAAAGUUUAUGGACCUAACUGAGGUUCUGGGGGCCCACUUCAUACUACUUUUCUGAUUCUAAAUUUUUUUUUUUUUUUUUUAUUAUAAAUAAAUUUUAUUGAUAAACUCAACAAAUUACACAAAAGUAGAGGACAAACGCGCUACAAACUGCGCGGCAAGUCCUUUCUGGAUAGCAAACCCGAUUCUCCUAAAUACAUAUUCGUUCGAACCUGCAGUCAUCACGUUGCUAUCCAUUAUCUUCUGCACUCUCCUGAGGAGCUCAACUGCUUCUGAGCCUAGCAAUCCAAAUGUGUCAAAUGCAAAGGGGAUGAAACUAUGUUGGUUAGCCCUACAAGCUCCGUCAUGUUUCUCCACUUUUGCCGCUGCUGCAUUGCUAGCUGCUAGCCCCACCUCAAAAAUCCCAGCACUAUGUUGGUUAUCUACUUGUUGUUUCUGUUGGUUGCUAUUUUAUUUUAUUUUUAAUAUUUAAUAUAAUCAUACACCUAAUUAAAUAAAUUCCUGUUAGAUAAUUAUUUACCUAAUUAAAUAAUUAUGCAACACACGUAUUUAUAUAUAUAUAUAUAUAUAUAUUUUUUUUUUUUUUUUUUCCUGAUGGCGUCGGACUUUCGUAUUUAGAAGAAUUGGUUUUGCUAUUAAAAAAUAACUGCACAUUGUGCAUCCAGUAUAUAAUUUAUUUAGUUAAACAUCAAGUGGUACUAAUUAAAUGAAAUAAUGAACCUUCUUUUGAGAGAAAAUGAGAUGAAGAGUGAGAUAAACAAAUUUCUUAUUAAAAAGGACUUGGAUUUGGAUUUGCAGAACAAUUUAUUUGCAGCAAACAAUGAUAAGUAGCACAUGAAAUGCACAUUGCAUUGUGAGCAACAGUGAGUUGCACUUUAAUUGGCUAAACAAGAAGUAGUCCUUAACUCAAUAAUAAUGGAAGCUCACCUUGUUUACUUCUUUUCAGAGGAGACAAAAGAAAAAUUUUAUAUGUACUCUCUACCAAGAUCAUGACCACACAACUUCCCAACUAGUAGUACAAAAUACAAAUACAAUAAACCCUACCACAAGUUCAUAUCAACUUUAUCACACAUUCACAUGUCUAGAAUUGAUCAGUCUAUUAUUCAGAAACGUUUUUUGAGUGAUCAAUUCUGUUAAUUACAAUAUAUCUGUACAGAUUCCAUGGUUGACGCAAUAUCCCAAACUCCAUUUGUGGGACUUGAUCAGAGAACUCCUAUGACAGUAAGUUUCAAUGCAGAUUGUUUGUUGCUGGAUAUAAAAACAAGCAACUUAACACUUGUCAUCAUUCCCAUGUCCUCUUUCAACGGGCAGUAGAUCCACAUUCUUAGUACCUGAAUCAACAUUUCAUUGUGCGCUGGGAAUAUUUUAACAGAAAAAGAUCACAUGAUUCAAACUAAUUUUGGAGGGGUGUUUCUCCAUUUACUUUUGUCAUCGCAUAUCAAAAUAACAAACCUACUAUACUCCACCAUAUAUAAGAACCAAGGAGAAGCCAUUGCACUGGAAUCAAUUUGCAUUGUAAAUGAUAUACAACAGAAACACAGUCAUAAAGCAAUAGAUAAAACUAAAAAUACUGAUUGAUCAAAUGCAAGAGAUGGGCAAACUGGAGCCUUUUGAUCUAUGGAGUUACAGUGCUGAAAUAAUCCAACAAAUUAUACAAUGAAUUUCUUUUGUUAAUUCUAGAAAAUACCAUUGAAAGGAAAGUGAAUGGUAACCAUAUGGAAAAGACUAAAAUUUUUGGUACAUUUAUGAUUCAAACAAAGCUUUGUACUAAAUAAAUAUGAUAUACUUGACAAAUAGUGGGUAGAAUUAGAGUUAAAUUGUCAGUUUCAAUUUUUAAACUAGUAAGUUGUACCACUAGAAGUAUUCAAUUACCGUGACUUUUUUUGCUACGUGGAGAAGAUUUAUAUAUUUCCUGGCCAAGCUCACUUAUCUUGUUGAUCAGAAGUGUCUCCUCAGUCUCAAGCUGGACCAUGUAUUCCUCUUGUACAUCUUCAAGGCUCUCCAUUUCACUCAAUGCCAAUGACAGUCCAUCAAGAUCCCCAUCCUCAACCAACGCUUGAAACUUUGCCAUCAUUUGUCGCAUCUGUUUUUUUUUUUAUUAUUUAAAUGAAAAUAUAUUAGGUAUAACAAUACAGUAACAUUACAAACAAGAAUCACAUUAAGAAAAUCAAGAAAGAUAAAUCACUGGAAAUUUUUUCCACUUCCCAUAAUUGGCAUAUGAAUGGUCUGCGGAUUAAACACUCCAUGCAUUUUGAUUGAGGGGUCUGUACAUUGAUCCCACCCUCAGUCUGAACCAGGUUAAGAGUAAUCACUCGGUUUACGAAAUUCUUGUGAGACACACACAAAUGUAUAUAUAGACCUCUACAACAGUGCAACUGGUGAGUAGACGAUACCAGGGCAGUAGAACGAGACUGGAGAUUCAAAAAUACCAGUUUGUUUUUCUUUUUCUUGAUCAGUACAAGUUAUGACCCAUAAAGGAUGGAUAGAACAGAACCCUUAUCUCCCUACAAUUCACAGCAGAUGCAUGGUUCUUCAUUAGCUACAAUUGUUGAUAAACCAGGACAUCCUUAUUCGAAGGUUAUAACAAAACCACAAGUGUACAGAUACAAACAUCCCACCCCACUUUUUGCAUACUGCCCAUAGCUUAAGUAUCUGGCAGUACAUCCCAUACUUCACCAAUAUAUAUUAUACCACCGUAUCAUAUAAACAGUAAUUACACUAAAACCUCAAGAUGACAAAGUUAAGAUCUUAAGAAAAUCAAUUAUUGGUGCAUUAUUAAACCAUAGCAUCUGCAAGUUGAACAAUUUGCAUCUCACCUGGCCAGAUAUUUGUUGAGCUUUACUCAAGGAAGGCAUAGUGGAGUUCAAGAAGGAUUUCUUAGGCUGUUCUGGAACUUUUCUUGUUAUUUGUACGUGUAUCUCUCCCUUGGUUACUCCUUGAAGAGGUAUCCACUUGUCAGCCAUCUGGUUUGGUGGUAGUCCAAGAUAUUCUACAAUACAAUGACCUAUACUUGACGUUGGUAGCACAGAAUUAUGAUCCUUCACAAAUAGAAGCAAGGGACUACCAUCAUCAGGAAAUUCCAAUGUUUGGUUCCACUGAGGACUAAGAGUCUUGUAUAUAACCUGCAAGAAAUAGCAUUGUACAAAUUGAAUAUUGGAAAACUGAAUGUGCCGAGUAGAAGCUAUCUGAAGAAGAAGAAAAAAACUAAUGAUCCUGACCUUGGUUCGUUUCUUUAUGCUUCCAUAUUGUACCCUGACAUAAGGAUCACUUGUUCCCCUCAAAUCAGCAGCUAUAAGGUCUCUUGCUUCUAUGAGAGAUAGCUCGAUCCAACCAGAUCCUGAACCCCCAUUAGCAUUCUGUAUUAAUCAAAAGGGUAAGCUUGGCAUAAACUUUAAGAGUAGCAUGACUAUCAUCUAGAAUGUAAAGAACUCAGCUACCACAUGUUUGAGAUGAGAUGGUCAGACAUAUAAAUAAAAUUUCAACUGAAGUAGAGUCCAAACUCUUUAAAUAUUUAUUCCCGUGGGGGAUUGGCGUGUGCUGUCUUAAAUAUUGAGGGGAAAAGGAAAGCUUUAAAGGAAUAAGACCUGCAUACUUCAAAUUGGUUCAUAUUUUGUAGAAUACUAUACUUCAAUUUACGGCGUGAAAUAGUAUAUUCAUGGCGCCAUAGAAUAACUUGAACUAGCCAACAGUGCCUGGUUUCAUGUUUUUUUUGACAUAAGAUUGGUUUUACUAUAUUUCAUAAUUAAGUCCGAGGCUGAGUGAAAAGAAUACCCUUGAUCGAUCAUAGGCAUCAGUUUUCACUGCUUCUACUUGAAGCCUAAGUUCUCCUGUAUUUGCUCUUUCGAGAGGUACCCAUAUGUCCUUCACAGAAUCUUCUAGUAACCCUUCCAGAUUUACCCGAGCACUUCCUAUGCUGUCAUCUGAGAACAUGUCUUGGCAAUAACACUUGAUCUUAAGAUAUUCACCACCUCCAAUCUCAUCAAAUUCAAAUUUCUGAUUCCACACAGGGUUCGAUUCAUGUAAGAUUGUCCUUGUUCGAUGGAGGGUCUGAAAAAUCAAUUUGAUAGUGGGAUUAGGAUUUAAUUGAAAAUUUACUAAAGAUUCUUAACAUAAUAUUCAAUGAUAUCCAUGGAAAGGGUUAAGUGAAGUAAGAAAGUGAAUGCAAGAGGAGAAAGAAUAGACCUUCCCAUACUGUAACUUUAUAUAUGGGUCACAUUUUCCAAACUUAUCCUUCCCAAUAAGAUCUCUUCCUUCAAUAAUAGUUACUUUGAGUUUCCUUCCUGUUGGCGAAGUAUUUGAUGGGCCAUCUAUAGAUUGUUGAGAAAUUAGAUGUGAAGGGUUGUUCAAGCUCCUUGAACCAUCUGAGAAUGUCCACUCCCUCAGCACAAGCUUUACAGUCAACUAUAUGUUCAUGAAAAAUACAGACACAUAACGAUCAGAAGAACUGUAAAAGUGGCCUAAAGUGUACUUCACAACAUGGAAAAAGGUAACACAAUUUUAUAAUAUGCAGACCUGACAAAUGGAACCUUCUCAAUGGAGACAUAUUGAUUAAAUGAGGCUACACAGAUGAUAAAAGGAGGGAGAAACAAGAAUGAUAAGUGGACGAAAUAACUGAACUUUGAAACCAUAGGAGUUUUUCUCUUAUUAUUUGCCACUAAAGUUAAUAGAUGGACAUCAUAAUAUCAUAUUUGUAUAGAUAUGAUGGGAAGGGAUCCUUUACCCUUUACUAAGAUUAUUAUAUCGAUUUUUAUAUUGAACACCUACACAACAAAACCAUGGCCGACUUUUUGUGGAGAAGAUCUUCCCACCAUGGAGUAACCCUAGAAAAAUCAGCUCAUAGGUCUAGCCUUGCCAAAAUUUGUGUCGAAGAUCUCAAGGUUCGUAUUUUCUCAGCUAAGAUGAAAUCGUUAGACAUAUGCUUGAUUGUUAGUGGGGAAGAUCCCAAUGGUGGGAAGUACACUUCCACAAAAAAUCAGCCAUUAAUCAUUGUGUAGGUGUCAAUGGCACACCCUACGCAAAUAGAUCCUUUCCCAAUACAAACUUCGUUGAAAAAUCAUACCACCAUGGGUCCAUUUGGUACUACCUUUCGUAGGCUUUACACUUUUACCAUUGUACUAGACCAGAUUGAGCAAAAAAUUAGCAUCAUCCUAGUCUCAAUCAAUGAAUCAAAUGCUAAUGUUUCUGAUUUAAUAAAUUUCCUCACACAGUCUGCAACACUAUAUAUAACAAACAGUCUUCAUUUCAUGCAUCAAACCGAGCAAUAACAAGCAACACUAUACAGUAUAUAACAAACGUAAUACCUGGCCUGAAUUGAUUCCCUCAAAUGGCAGUACUAUUUCUACUUCUUGUCCUACAGACUCAGCACGUUUAGCUAUUACACCAGAUCCAGGUCCCACGGCCCAAAACGUUGUGGAGUCAUCUGCAGCAUAUCUCACCUGUCAAAGCAACAAAAAGUUAAUUAGUUAAUUCCAUGAAGAUUUGCCAUUCUGAAUCUUACAUAGUAUGCUAUUACAUAGGCUACACACAUAUCUGAUUUCACUAGCCAUAUAAUAGUUUACAAAUUUGCAAUGAUUAUUUAAUUUACCUUUAUCUCACAACUCGUGAUGUAAUCAUGCUUCACAUUGUUUGGAACCCAUUCAUAAAGAUGGAAUCUGAUAAUUCCAUUGUCUUCAUGCAAAACCAUAUUAUAGCUUGCUUCCCAUUUAGGACUUGAACCUGAACGAGCAUCUGUUCUCCGAGUCAAUUCUCCAAGUUCAACUUCCACAAACGUUUGCAUAUAUUCAUCACCAUAACCGCCAUUUAAAGAACUGUUUCUUAAAACAUUUUGUUGUCUUCCAGAACUGCUGUUUUUGAGAUUACCCUUAACCAGGUUACUUGCUGAAACAACAGUAACAGAGAGUUUGCCCCCAACGGCGCUUUUUCUCAGAUCUACCACUGGCAAAGAAUAGCACCGGCGACGAGGUUCAACCAUUGUCUUAACCAAAGGUAUCACUGAAUAGCUUAUUCUGCAGAGCACGAGGAUAAGUGCUAUACCAAAGUUAGAGACUAGAGAGUAUGCGUAUAAAUAUUUUAAACAUUUAUUAUGACGGCUUCUUGACCAGUGUAACAUAUCGUGAUAUAUUUAGUGUGAUUUUACAAAACUGAGAACUAAGUUGAGAACACACCAGCCAAGAUGAAACGCCUGGAAGUUCUGUUGCAGGGAGUGUUUGACUUCCACCACUUCCAAAGGCGAUACCUAUUCUCACCUCGGGAAGUGAUUCAAAUGAAUACAAAACAGCUUGUCCAUCAAGAAUUGGCGUGAAGAGAAGCUGCGUAGAAAAAACAGAUGGUAGUAAAUACAGCUUCUAAGGUGUCAUGUAAUACCAGUAUACAUAUGACUAUCCACACCAUCCUAAGGUUCAGGUGAUAAAUUUUGAAACUUGUAGACCAUAUAGAUCAGAAAAUCCAUGUUUAGAUAGGAAAAUGCAAUAAUAUAUCAUAUAGAUAGCUGAUAGCGCUUGAACUGCUCCGUAGAAUCACAUCAAUAGGUGAUUUUACAGAAAAUGAAUUUUAUCAUAAAACAUUAAUGUGCAACAGUUGUUAUACAUGCUACAAUGGAUCAUGGAUCAGAUCAGAAUGUGCAUGCUACAUCCAUCUCCCUUGAUGUGCAAGCUAUUGAUAACGAUCAUAUAUCAAAUUCCAAGACGUGGUUAAGUGAAUAAAAAUGUUAUUACACAUACAUUUCCCUUGAGGUGCAAACUAUUGAUAACGAUCCGAGCAGUUCCCACUAAUGGCUUCGCCACCUUUGCGAGCAACAAAAUAUUGACAUUGUUUGUGUCCCACUCAAAUCCCAUGGACAAGAUUCUCUGUUAGAUAGAGAUUAAACUGUUACCACCAUAUUUACAGCUAAUUCAUCCGAAAGAAAAGGUAAAGAAGUGCAAGGCAAUCUUAAAUAUCUCUAGUCAAAAAUCAUGUGGUGGUAUGUCAAAUUUUGGUUACACAUUGGCAUUAUUAUAUAAUGAAAUACAUUAUCUAAUGCUAAAACAUCCUUGCAAUAUAUGUGAUUUCAAUUGAUGUGAAGGAGAAAUUGCAUGACUGCGCCAUCUCAGCGAGCAACAUAGAAUUGACCAUUGUUUGUGUCCCGUUCAAAACAAUUACUUUGACAGUUUAAAAAUAAGACUAUUACUACAAUAUUUUAUGAUGAAUGUAUCAUUAACAAAACAAAAGGUAAAGAAGUGCAAGGCGAUAGUAAACUACCUUUAAACGAAAAUCAUACGUUGCAUUGUCAAAUUUCAGUUACGAAUUGGCAUUAUCGUAUAAUAUUAAUUUAAGACUCAAAAUCCUUUCGAUACAUAUGAUUUUAAUUGAUAUGAAGGAUACAUUGAAUGAUCUGUCUAGAUCGGUUUCAGGAUUUAAUCUGUGAACGGGAUACAGUUGUAAUGUAAGAAAUUGUUGUUGGAGACAAUGAAAUGACAUAUUACUUUACUAACACACACACAUACGCAUAACUAAGCAGAUACAGUUAGCAUAAACUAAACCAUCAUAACAAACUUCUGUAAGUGUCAUUUAGUUUCAUAUAAAUUAUAGAAACAAAUGGAAUAAAAAUAAAGUCGAAAAGUUACUUAGAGUUGUUACCAUCUCACGUCUCUACCGUAUUCCAGUUUUAUAUAGGCCAAAUUACCAAGUUUAAGAGAUUAGCAAGUUACAUAAAAACGGAAACCUCAAUGACUCAAAUGACCACUUACUGUUAGUUAAAGAGUUAAAAACUUAAAAUGUUAUUAUAGAAUGGGAUUUUCACAAGAUACAGAAUCAGCGCUUGAUAAUCAGUCUUGUAUUAAUUAUCAAACACAGAAAUACCAUGUAAUUAGAGUAGUGAUUUUUUUUUGUCAAAAAUUUUAUCGGAAAUGUACUUCCUGUUUACAUAAAAGCUAUUCAUGAAAUUCGAGAAUAUAGAGAACUUCCAAGUAUAAUAAGCAAUCAAACCUGGUCACCUGAAGUUGACCAACGUGUCCCAUGCAACCCCAAGGUGGGAGGACGCGAGCCUAAUGAAAACUCCAGCAACUCAAUGCUUUCCUACAAUGAAAUGCUUCACUGAAUAAAUCUGUAUUGUAUUGCUGACACAUAUAGCAGUAGUAAUGAACAAAUACAAAAAGGCCAAACUACUCACAAUAAUUCUUGGCUUUCGAUGUUUUAGCCGUUUCUGCAUCACCAAGAGUAUACAUCAGAUAAAAUAAAUAAUUCUUUAGAAAAGAUUGCAAUAAGCGAAAUAUGAACCAGACUGCUUACUCCAACAUGGCAAGAGCACUGAACACAUCUUUCAAUGUCGAUAAGUUGACAAUUGUAAAAUACAAGACCAUAAUAAAGGAUGGGUAAAUAACCGGAUGGAUACGAGUUUUGGAUGAAAAAGGAACAUGCAGUUUUAAAUAACAUGGACAUGGAACUGUGACAACGUUUGAUCCACAUGAAAUUCAGUUUGUAUCUAGCAGAUUUCAUAUAUUGUUUUUCUUGUUGAGAUCGUAAUCCUUUUCGAAUCUAUACCUUUUAUUGGCUACAUUGAAAGAACUAUUUAUUACACUUCUAUUAUUCUUAGGUCUAUUUUGUCAUACAUUUUCCUUGUCAUGCAGUAAUGUAUCAAUAUAAGAAUAUAUUUACAUUGUCCAAAGGAUAAGGCAUCAAUGAUUAAUAUUACAAAGAAACUAAUCCUAGAAAAAUAUGUUUAACAUGGUUGAAAAUUCUCAUAGGAGGCUCACCUCAACAAUUGAUGAAAACCUUUUGGACAGUUUUUGGCAAAUGAAGUUAGGCCAAACUUCCAUCAGUAACUUGUUGAACCACUCACACUGCUCAAGUGGAGUAAUUGGCUGUAAAAAUAAGAAAAAACAUGAGAAAUCAUCCAUAAUGAUAAAUACGAGAUAAUUAUAUCCAUGUGCAUAAGAUCUGCAAAUUAAAAGAAAUACCGAAGUGUACAAUGUGACUUGCUUCCAUCUUUUGUUCAAGUCUUCCACUAGGAGCUGACGUUGAAAGUUUCCAUACUGCAGAGACAAGCGAUAGUUCAUAUCAUGAACCAUGUAACUUUCUCACAUCAUAAUUCACAUUUUCUGGAAUGUUAAAGCUAUUCAUGAUAAGGAAUAAUUUUGUAACAUCCUAAGUUUGCAAAUGAGAACAAGAUUUAUAGUCGGCCUAGUUAUCCUAGCUGUCUGACAGAUUUCAAAAUAUAAGCCUACCAACACCACGCUGCAAUGAAUACCUCACAGUUGAGCAAUGUGUCUUCAGAUGGGAAGUUCUUAUGAGUGGACAAUCACAUUUAAGUUUAUGGUUUUAGUGUGUUGUAUAACUGGGCAACUAAUCCUAAACAUUCAUUGGAAUCUCAUGUUUGCUGAUAAAAAAAUUGAAAACAAUCAUCAUUCAUAUUAGUAUAUAUUCUGAAUGUCCAACAUAGAAAACCAUUAGGAGGGCCGCAAUCCUUGUUAAAAUAGAAUAUUUUUGAAGUCCAAUAUCUAAUACAAUUACCUAAUAAAAUUACUGCAAGAUUUGUUGACAGAAAAACACAAUCAAAACCCAACCAUUGCUAUGACUCGAUUGUUUUAUUCCAUUAAGUUAUGUAAAGGAAAGAAAACAAUUAGAGGGGGUUUUGCAUCAACAAGACAACAAUGAGGUAUAGCACCUAAAGAUCAAGCAUAGUUUUCUUUCUAGUAAUACGUAUAUUUCGCGACAAGUAGAAAACCAAAAAAAAAAAAAAAACAGAAACAGAAAGCAAGGGAUCAAAGUUGGUAAACCUACUAAAAAUGUCUAAAACAACAAAUUAACAAUUACCCAGUUUGAGUUUGUCAUGAUUAAUCAGAACUGCCAUAAUAAACUACAAAACACAGAAACUUAACAAAUACCCAGUUCAAUUUCACCUCAAUUUUCAAAAAAUUCUCAUACCCAAUCAUAUAAAAAUACCCAAAAAAAUACAGUAAAAACCCAUUAAGCAAUUGCAGCUAAAAAAUGGAAAGAUUAUAAGAAAGAAAAGGGAGUACCUGAGUAGUUAACCAAACAGCAAAAGCCAAAGGAACCCAAUAAGAGAAAGGCAAAAGCCAUCUUUCAAGCAACCAAGUAAUUAAAACAAGUGGAAGUAAAUAAGACAACAAAGGUUUAUCUUCCAUAACAUGGUUUAAGAAAUCUGUAGCUUGUUUAAUUAAAAACCCCUUGUUUUCUCUUCUCACCAUUGUUUUUCUUCUCUCUGUUCUUUCGUCAAAAACUAUAAUAAUAAUCCUCGUCUUGUAUCAUUAUGUUUAUUAGAUGAGAAAAGUCGAAAACGAUACAAAUGAUCAAAACGUUUAUUUGUCGGUCAACUUUAUCUCAUCUACAAACUAGAAACUAGAAAAGUAGAAAGAGAGAGAGAGAGAGAGUAUGUGUGCUGUGUUACCACUUACAUGGAAAUAUGGAAUGAUGAGAAUAGUAGAAGAAGAAGAAGAGUAAAGAAGAAAAUAAAGGUCAAAGCUGCCUGAAAGAAAAAAGAGAAUGAAAAAGGACGGCAUUAUUAUGUUUAUGUAUUUUGUUUGUUUCUUUGGUGGCAAAAAAAUUAAAAUAAAAUCCAAAUUUAAUGAAGUUGGUUAAAAAUUGGUUGGAUAUUUAAUUAUUUAUUAUUUACAAAAGGAAGAAAAAAAAUAAAAAUUCCAUGGAUACAUCUCUUUCUGUCCAAUAAAAGUAUUGAAUUGGAAGUUCAAUGUUUAAAUUAUAGCUUUAGAACUUAUAUAAUUUUAUUAAUUUAAAGUGUUGAUUUAGUUAUCCGACCAAAGAAUUUUAUUAACUUAGAGAGAUAGAGUAUUAAUUUAAAGAAGUUCUAUUAUACUGUAGAACUUUUAUAUAAAUAAAGAACUGUGUCAUAUAAUUCUCCAUAUUUAAAAAAGAUUGGCAGCACAUUUAUUCCCUAUUUUCAUAUAAUUUUUUAUAUUUAUUAAUAAAAUUUUAUUAAAAAAUAUGCAUGAAAAAACAUACAGAUAUUUUGAAGACAAAAAUUUGUCACUUCCUACUACUGUUGCAAGAAAAUUCGCUAGUAUCAGUCAGAUAAAUGAAGCAAUAUCAGGGUGUAAUGAAAAUAACUAGGGUAUGUAAAUAUCAUGUUCCUAUUGUAAGAAUCAUAUUCUCCACUAUUAUAAGAAUCAUCAUCCUUUAUUUAUUGACGUGUGGAGCCAAGCUUUGAAGAGCGAGAUACUAAAUUUCAAUAGAGUAUUGGGACAAUUAGACAUGCAAUGCAAAUCCAACAACUAACUUGUCCGUGGUGCACCACCACCACCAACUAACAAAGCUUGUUUUCUUUUGGUAAUAUCUGUGCAGACGUUACACUCUGAAUUCAUAUAAAGAACCCAUCUUCUGAUUGACCAGCAGUUUUUAUUCUAGCCACCAAGAUCACUAGCCAAAUGUAGUGCAGAUCGUGUUCAAUUGCUGUCAAUGCACAUUACUGUCAAUGGCAAUCUCGUUUAGUUGAGUGUUAGGCAUCGCUCAAUGUUUUGUUCAUUCAUUAUCUCCAUUGGAAAAUGUCAACUCUACAAGAGUUCUUUCCUUUCACCAAUGCAAUCUCAGACUACUCUGCCUAACUAAAAAUGCUGCAUACAUUAUCUGAACAUUCCCUGUUGUGAAACCUUAUCCAGUUGUUGGAGGCAUUAAGUUGUUAAAAGGACAGAUGAUCAAAUCCACUGAUUGAGCAGAGGUAUAUGCACAGUUCAUAUGAAACAAUGUUAUGGAUUUCUGGUGUUUUCGUGCUAGUUUUAAGGGAGUUUGGGAUCAAGAUCAAUGCACUUUUUGUUCCACAACAAAUUAAAUAAUGGUCCUUUUUAAGAGUCCAAUAUAUGAACAUGGGAGAAGAUCAAAAUCAAGAAGCAGGACAACUGUCCUUUUUAUUUUGUAGUUUUGUCUUCUAGAAAUUUUGAUGCAGGAUCACUAAUCCCUUUUCCUUUGAAUGGGGAAUCAUGCUUUCAAGUUUCCACUCACCCUUUCUAUUCCCGCAUAAGAAAUUUCUAUGGGAAUAUGCAUAAACAGUUAACAACCAACAGUACAAAAGGGUUGCAGGGCACAUCUUGGAAUUGACGCAAUAUUUAUAAACCAAUGGAGGUGUCUGUGUGGGUGUGUGGUGUGUGUGUGUGGGUGUAAGGGUGUUGAAGAAAAAAGGUUGAACAUUUUUAGUACCUUAAAACCAAUGGAAGUAAUAGUUACAACAGCAUCUAAGUUGUUCAGUAUCUUGGGAGGCAAAUAACUAACUAUUUAUCAUAAUAUCCUGAAGCUAGACGAUACCCGAGCUCCCGCUUUACUUUGGCUGGGUUGUGCCACCAAGUAGGCGUGUUGAUAAUUUCGCGCUCCAACCAAUCGUGUUGAACCUCUGGUUUCCUUGUUAUAUGCCGAUAGAAAGCCUUCCAUUGGUACAUAGCACGCCUCAACCGUAAACUCUUCUUUUUGGUGAAAAUAUACUUGGUAAAAUCUUUCACCAGCCUAGUUAGUUCCUGUCCCUUCAGGAUGUAAAAGUACUGCAAACGACCAGGGGAACAAGUUAAAAAAGAUCAAAGAUAAAACUCAACUGUUUGUAACAACAAAUUGAACUUGCAGGCGAUAUCAAAAAGAGUUUAUUACCAAAAACAUAAAACCAAAAGUUGCUAAAAACACUUGUAAUACUUCAUCAAAUCCUUCAUCCAUUCCUUCAUCUUCUGAACCACCACCAGAACCACCACCACCACCACCACCACCUGGUGGGCUUCCACCGCCACCUUCAAAGUCAUCACCUGCUUCUCGUUUUUGCAUCUCCUCACGUAACAUGUCUUGAACUGAUCGCUCCUUCCUGAAACCUUGCAUAGCUUGCUCAAGGGAUUUCCACGGAGAAGCCUGGUAAAGGGGAAAAAGCCAGUCAAAAGAAAUAAAGAUACUUGCAGUUAGUAUCUGCAGUAAUCUUGUGAUGCUGCGAGCUUAUCCCCUUCCUAGCAGCCGGAGUUACUUAUAUUUUUAAGGUUUUUCUUUAAAAUUUAGUGGAACAGCAAGUAGAUCAGUGUAGUAAACAUAUCCUAGAAUGUUGUCUCUAAGUCUCUACAAAGUUAUCCAUAUCUACCCAGCUGCCCAUCUAAAUGAGCCCAACAACAACAAAUCUUACACCAAACACAUAAGGGUCCUAAGCCAUUAGAAUGCUGGAUUAUGCAUACAUCAAUAUAUUUUGGGAAAAAGUAAUACAAUUACCAAGUGUCUGGUUUGGGACGGUGUUCACAACUUCUGGACAGUAGUAUACCUCUAAUAUGUAAAUCGAGCAUGCAAAAAGUAGACAUUGCAAGUAUAUAUUGAGCGACCUCAUGAGUUCAAAGAACAUGUACAUUUAUGAAAAGUCAUACCAUGUCCUGAGUAAAGAAGAAACUUAAUAGGACAAAACAAAUUUUUCCUCUUUAUUUGAAGUCAGAUAGAAUAUGACCCAUAGUUAGAAAACAUGAAACGGAAUUCCAAUAAAGGUUCAUCAAGUUUCUCUCGUGAUUUUUUACUUUGCUCCAUCUUCCAAGUAAAACAACCAGCUAAGGACCUCCUUUACUUUCAUUAAUUUCUCCUGAUUCUAUCACAGUAUCACCAAAGACAAUUGUGAGCAUUGACUUGGGAUGUUGACUCUAAAGUAAUCACCAUUUAUGAGCCCCACAUUUAAGAUUUUCCAGUCAUAAUAUAGAAAAUAUAGAAGAGUAGGCCUGGAGGUAGGGCUCAUAGAUGGUGAUAUCUUUGAAGUAAAUUACACAUCUAUCAAAGUACUUAAGGUAGUUGAUAUCUUAACCAAUUUACCUCUUACAUUGAGUGCUCUGCAUCGUAUUAGUGUUUUACAUAGUUCUCUCUUUUUACUGAUAAAAAAAACUAUGUACUUCUUUGAUACUAGCAAGUGAGGAGUUUCAGAUACUUUUCGUUUUACCUCAUUACCAUCUCCUGCUUUUCGCUCCCCACCAAAUAAACACACAGUGUUGCAUCUACGGUAGCUCGGUACAUUGGAAGCUGAUCUGGUGGAUUUCAUAAGGUAGGUAGGAGAGAUGCCUAACUGGGAGUAAGCUAUGUGGUGAGAUGAAACUUUGUUCCUGACCUCCACAUGUGGCCCGUAGGUAGAAAUUUGCAUGCAACUCAUCCUCGGCUAAAAUUGUGAUUGACUUUUUAAUCAGACAGUAGACUUUGGGGUCUCUGGCAAUAGUCUAAUAGCUACCUGCAUAACUAAGCAUAUAACAAAUGUUCAAAUUCUAAAAUUUAACAUAAAAACGAAAGUACUCCCAGUCAGUUUGUACAAUUAAUAGAUAGAUAGUUGACUUUGGAAAAAAGCACACAAAGAUAUCUGCAUCAUGCGAUAUCAGAUUAGAAUAUGCAUGUGCAACUCUAUAUAUACUGUACAGACUACAGAGGUGGGUAGUCAUCGUUUAGGCUUAGCAAUGUGAUGUGCAAAUACUUUAAGACGACAUAUUCAUCUGUCUAAACCCAAGAAACUAGGUAUAAAUAAAUGAAUCCCCGACUCCCCCAUACACACACGCGUGACACACCCCGAUGUAAGUUGGAAUGGCACCCAGAAUCUCCUGGUACAACCACCAGUUAAGUGCCCAGGGCUGCUGGACACCUGCAGUAACAAUUAAAAACAUGACCAGUUUGAAUGUCGAAAUGAUAAAAAUACUAAUUAUCGUAUAAUCUGUGUAACCUAUGUUAGAUAAACCAAAAUAUCAACAGCAUAAUUAGUAUGCAGUUAAAGGUGCAGGGAAUGACGACCCUUAGUACUCCUAGGCACAGUUGGAUCAAAACUUUUAUUGACCAAAUUGCUAAUUUCCUUCAAUCCCAUUCUAGCUAGUGUUAUAGUGGUAGUAUGCAAAAUUGGAAUAAAUGGUAGCUAAAGUUGAAACCCUUUUAGCUUCUAAGCAAUGUCGAUAACACUUUCGCAACAUUUCAUAGAAUAACAAUUUCUAACAAUUUCAUUCAAAGCAUAUGUUUUAUUAAUAAAAAAAAAAAAAAAAACAAUUUAGAAAAAGAAACAAAUUAAUAAACAAAUCUAACAGAAACCCAAGAAUUAUCUCAAAGAAAAAAACAAAAUCCCAAACCCUCAAUCAUUUCAUCUUCAAUAGACCAAAUAAUCUAAUCAAGUAAGUCUACAAGGUUUAAUAGAAAUGAGAAUGAAGGAGAAAUGGUUUUGGAAUCUAAGCAUUGGAAUUAUAGAACAAAAGUAAACAAAAUUACCUCAAAUUGCAGAAGAGUGAGAAGUUCACAGUUGAAGAAGAAGAGCUGAUAGGUUUAUGAGUUUAUCUCUCUGUCGAUUCAAUUGUAUCUGAUGACUCGAUUUUUUCAUGGAAUUGAACCGGCCGAUUUUGAGUAUAUAAAGUCAAAGUCAAAUAAUGGGCAUUUUCUCUGGACUGAAGAAAAUCAAACUGGGCCUUCUAAGUUCUACACACCCACACACAAUGAAGUGUACUGUACAGACUGACUGACUGACAGAGAAUGAUGAAACCAUAUAUAAGAAUGAAGAAUUAGAUAGAUAAAUUUUAUUUUAAAUAAUGGUUUAUGAUUAAUUUGUACAUGUAAUAUGUUGCAUGCAUUAUUUUAUAGCAAAAAAAAAAAAAAAAAAUGUAUAUUGAAGUAUUGGUUUUGUGGUGUCAACUGUUAACACUCUAAAAUACACAAACUUAGCUUUGUUGGUCGAACUAGUUUGUGACAGACCACUCAGCUUGAACUUUUAAUUGGGGAAAUAUUAGGUCAACCACCAAAGUGAACGGUUCAGACUUGACCUAAAAUUCAUUGGUCUUACAUGAAUGACCAUAGGGAUUUUCUACACGACGAGUUACUGAUCUCAUUUAAAACAGGUUUACCACCAAAUUUUUGCCGAUGCCAACAGAGUAUGAGCUCAGUUGGUAAUAGGGUAAUACCUGUGGGUGAUACUUGAGGUCUGGGGUUCAAACCUAGGCAGUGCAACAGAUUACAGAUAAAUCAUUUGGACUAUUGUUAAGUUAUUGAGCUUAUGUUCAUGGACUAAAACUAUAUACUCUGUGGGCUUCAGUAUGCUAGUAUCCAUGAAACAAUUCACACAAAAUUUGAGGCUCUGAGAGUCUGAGCUACUUGUAAUAGGAUGCAGUACAUUACUGUGAAAACUGGUUACAUCUUGAGAGUUGAGAUCUAAGAUGGUCCAUAUAUGUUAACGGUGAUGAUCCCUGACAAGAUGUUUUAUUGAAAAUUAAGUAGCAGUAAUGUAUCUUUCAGUGAGGUGGGAAUGUAAGCAACUCCUUGGCAAGAUGUUUUCUUAUCGCGAUAACAUUUCUCUUUCACAAAUUAUUGAACCCAAACAACGUAGGUUUACACAUACCUGAUCAAUGUGCUAGCUUUUUAUCUUACGUUAGCAAAAGUAGUUAAUUAAAUUAUUAAUAUUUAAGUAGAUCGUAGCUGAGAAAUUACUCUCAGUUUCUCCUAUCCCAUGUCAUGCAGAACGUAGAUAAUGUGCAUGAAGACAAAUUAAAUAUACAUGAUAUAUAUAUUUCUGUUAUUUUAACAUUUGAAGCUAUAUAUUCAAAUGAUCCUACAUAAAAAUACACAAUUAGGUCUAAUUCUCACUAGCAACAUAGGUUUUUAGACUUGAUAGUUCCACUUUAACUGCUCUUAAACUGAAAAAAAACUGAGUUGGCAUUAUAUAAUUAACCUAACCAGCUUAACCUAACUCAUCAUACAAUAAUAUCUACUUUGUCUGUAUUAUGUUGACGUAAUUUAAAUUAAUUGAAUAAUUAAACUAGUUAUUAGUACAUAUUAACAAUAAAUAUGUAGAAGACACUCCUGCAUCAGGAUGACUGUGACUAUAGUUGACAUGCAUGGAUGAAGUACAAAUUUAUAUUAGAAAUACACAAGUGGAAAUGUUGAAUAUUUACGUACAAGCUAUACAAUGGAUAAUUAUGUUUUUCAUUUUCGCAUCUUAUCUUUUAACCUUUAGUUUUUAAUUUUUGUUUUAUAUAUGAGCUUGAUGUGGAGCGAAAAACAUAAGUUAAUUUGUCACCAAUGUGAGCUAAUCAUGGUCGGUAAACUUGUUUAGUCAACUGGUCACUUGACGUCUGCUAAGUAGUGCUAACGCUAAUCUUUUGACGGGUUGGUAUUAAUUGAUGAUUCAUUUGAGUCAACAAAGAUUAAGAAACAAUUAACCCAUUCAAAAAAUUGCACAUUAUGGAUCACAAGACCCCUGUUCUAGUUUGUUAUUUGUGUAUUUGAAAUGCUUUGUGUUGAUUUCCUUCACUUGUUCAGGUUUAGAAGAAAUACAGUAGUAUACAAGUUCCCAAUGGCUUAGCAUCGACUUGUUUAAUUAUUUGGCCACACACGUACUACAGUAUUUUUAAAGUACAUUUAUACUAUUAAUUAGUACACUGAUUAUUGGAAAGUACUUAACCCAGUUUGCAGUUUGCACUAGCUCAUGCAUAAACCGUUCUACAACAACUACAAUCACUGAAUCAUAUCACCUGCCAACCCUUUACAACUAUCUUACCGGUUCCUAAUUGCAUCAUGUCGCUCAUUAGUCCUUACAUCCAACCUGCAAAAAUUCAUAAUAAGUCAUAUCCGUAUGCUGCGAUUGUUUUUGAAUUGCAUUUUAGUAAGAGUGCGUGAUGCAACCAUUACUAUAUACAGGACAACAAUCACCAUCAUGCAAAACACAGUUAACAGCAACACAAGAAGCCCAAAAUAUGCAGUUGAUACAAAGCAUUAUAAUAUCAACGGCAGAGGUAAACAAAGUUUUUUUAAGGGUAAGUUUGAUUGAUCAAUAUAUAGUUUUUUUUUUUGUUUUUUUUUUUAAUUUGAAGAAUAUAAAUAUUAAUUUCACAUGCAUGCAUGCCUUAUAUUAAUUUGAGGACAUUAUUCAACGAAAAUCAACCGUCCAACAAUGGUUUUCCAAUCAACCAAACCACAAUAUAAAACAAAAACAAUAAUAAAUUACUCAGCAUUUUCUAGCUAAUUAAAAUGCUCCACAGUCUGACAGUCCACACGUACCACAGGCCGGCUCAAUUCUUAUCAAUGAGCACAAAUACUUACAGUAUUUGGCAAAAAUGUGUAAUUUCUAGGAGCUGAGUUCAAUUUCUACACUAAAAAUGAUAAAAUGUUUUACACCUAAGAACAAGGAGUUAAGAAUUAUGGUUGUGCUUGUUUCACAGUAAUAAUCGGGAAUCAGUUUCUGGAAAAGAUUGUUUUUAAUUUAUUUUUACAGAAAUUUUGCUUAAACUCAGACUAAGGUGCUUGAUAAUCUCGGGGAAAAAUAACUAACAACGAUGAGAGAGAAGAGAGAAACGGAGAUAAAAGAAGAGAGAGAAAGGCACAGAGGAGAGAGUGAGAGACAAGUUUCCAACUUAAUCCGGGUUCUUUGAAACCGGAAUAUAUGCUGACGUGUUUUUGCUGUUUUGUAAAAAAAAAUGUGGGACCUACUGUUUCUGAUACUCACCCAAGCAGUCGUUAAAGGGAAAAUAUCGGGAAAAUCUGACGUGGAUUUGCUUUCCGUCAGAUUUCCCGGUAAUCAAGCACAGCCUAUAUGUGAAUUUGAUGCUCAACAACAAUGAUCCUCUCAAGUAGUCUGAACUAACUACAUGCAAGUAAACCAGAUAUAAAGAUGGCGACUAACUCCUAGCUACAAGGUAGGAAUUUCUGUUUGAAACACAGUUAAUUGAACUUGAUUCAGUUUACAGAUAAUUAAGAUUCGAUUCAGUCCUAUAACAUCUCAUGAUGGAUUCAAUAGGAAAUGUGAAGUUGUGAACACAAUCCUUUGACUAGGUCAAAAUAGUUUGAGAGGUGAGAAAAUUGCAUCAUUGACCAAAAGCGUUGCGCAUGAUGUAUAUAUUCAUUCAAUCAUUUGAUUCAAAGCUAGCCUCAUCAAACCAUUCUCUAUCAACUAUAUUUUUGGGAUUAAAAGCAAAAGCAUGGAAAUCUAAAGACUGCACCAUAAGUCUAAAGAUUUUCAAAGUUCAAAUAUAAUCAUCAAGAGAAUCAUGAUCAGGCUAAAGUUUUCAAAUCAUGUUUUAUCGAUCCUCCUCCUCGGAUAUACCCUUACAACUUAAAAGACUAAAAAGAAACCCUUCUUUUCCAUAAAGCACAAGCUCUUAUUUUCAAAGUAUCCGAUUAGUUUGUUCUGUUGGUCGUUUAUAUCUAUGCUCAUCUCGAGGCAUAUAUAUAGUCAAAUAGAUAAAUAUAGAUCAAUAUCUAUGCAUGGAAGAAUUUAUAGUUGGAACUUAGAAGGAUGAGAUAGAUCUCAUUAUUGAUCAUUAAAAGAAGGAGAAUAUACAGUUUUAGAUUCAUAUAUUUAUUUAGCAUGAAUCUAGGAUUUUAGUUAGGUUAAGGUUAAGAUUAGUUACUAUAUUUUGUAGGAGUACUUAAAUUAACUGCAUUUCAAGGGUCAGGUAAAAGUAUUAAACAUAUGUACUGUAACAUGGUUGGUAUGAAAAUCUAUGUUAUGAAGUACCCUAGUAACAUGGUUUGCCAAGUCACUAAUCCAUGACAUUUGCAUUUUAGUCUAUUUAUGGUGUACUAAGCACAAAAACAUAAACAUUUCAUCACAAUCACUUUGGUCUCAUUGUUCUGACAGAAGCUCUGGACACAUAAACAUGGCAACAACAACAUGACACAUGAUUGAACAAGAAGAAGAAACAUUUACAACAUAGUGUUCCUUCAUUCUAUUUUAUUCACAUGGGAUGGGAAGGUUUUAUCAAGAGGGAGUUGAGGUAUUUCCCUACAACUAAACAUAGGCAUGAACGCAUUUGUUUCUCAAGGUUUUUUAAGAAAAAGAAGAACAACAACAACAAGAAUUAAAUUGGGAUCAUGUGAUGGGAUGCACUUAUAUGGAUCAAAAUUAGACAAUCAUAUGAGUCCCACUCCAGCACUCCCUACCCAGACUUAGAUAUGGUCAGUCCCACGUGUCUAAUUAUGUUGACUAAAUAAAAAAUAUAUUGUUGAUAUGCAAAAAUUUCACCGAAUAUAUCUAUUUUUAAAGAAAAUAAAUAUCAGUAUAUACGAAAUCAAAAAUUUUCAAGAUUACCACAAAUAUUCUCAAGAUUCUCAAAGCACACCACGAAUAAAAUAAAAUAAACUCUCAUUACACCUUAUUUUCCUUUACUUUUUUACUAAUAAUAUUAUAUAAAAAAAAUCUAAGAAAAUCUAAAAGAUAAAUAUAAAUCUAAACAACUUUUAGAAAAGUACUAACAAACAGUAAAAAGUAAAAAAAGUUAUCUUGUCUAUGAAUUUUGUGAGUGUGACUAAGAUUUUCCUUAAAAUUCAACUAAAAAUGUGGUGUACCAGAGAUUUACGUGGGCUUUGUAGGUUGCGGCCCGUAUAUAAACCCUCUAUUUUUUUCAUAAAAAAAAAAUAAAUAGUUGCUCAACUUGAAAUAUUUUAAUUACUUAUUUAACCCUUAUAAAAACAAUAGCUAGCAGGAGUGUGUUUGCUACCCUUUUUUGUGUCUUAUGUGCUAUGAGCGUGUGAGAGAGAGAAAGAGAGAACAGAAAAGAAAAGAAGCAUUGUUGAAAUGGCUUAUUGGUUUUCUCAAUAAUCAUUCUUUUGUUUCAUGCGUCGUACCCCUUUCAAUGCCAAUAACCUAUUAACCCCACAUCCCCAUCUCUCUUAAACCCCAAAACCCAAAACCUUUCUUUCCUUCUUCUUCUUCUUCUUCUUCUUCUUCUUCUCUGUUUCUAGCUACUCUGUUUUUUUUUUUUUUAACUAAUCGUUUCUCUUUUCUAUGAGACUUGGAUGCAAUAAAGCAACUCAACCCCAUAAUCUGUUUCACUCUUCAAUUAAAAAAAAACCCAUUUUUAGAAACUUAUUAAACUGCAGAAUGGAAUCAACAUUAGUGAAGGCAAAAAAAGAUAAGAUUAUAGUAAUCAUGGGAGCAACUGGAACAGGGAAAUCUCGUCUUUCAAUUGAUUUAGCAACACGUUUUUUUCCUUCUGAAAUCAUAAACUCAGAUAAAAUCCAACUUUAUCGUGGUUUAGAUAUCACAACAAACAAAAUCCCAUUACAAGAUCGACUUGGUGUUCAUCAUCAUUUACUUGGUGAGUUUGAUUCGGAUCAAAUCGGCGAGUUAACUCCUUGUCAAUAUCGUUUACAUGCUUCAAACAUUAUUGAAGAUAUUUUAGGAAGAAAUAAACUUCCCCUUAUUGUUGGUGGUUCUAAUUCACUUAUCCAUGCUCUUGUUUCUGACCGAUUUGAUCCUAACUCGGACGUUUUCAAUGAUGUUGACUCAAUGUUGUCAUCUGAGUUACGUUACGAUUGUUGUUUUCUUUGGGUAGAUGUGGGUUUAGAAGUAUUGUAUGAAUACUUAUUAAAGCGAGUUGAUGAAAUGUUUGACUCAGGAAUGUUUGAAGAACUAACUGAGUUUUUUAAAUCAGAAACUGAGUCAGGGCCGAUUCAACAGAUUGGAAUAAAGAAAGCAAUUGGUAUUCCAGAGUUUGAAGACUUCUUUCGUAAUGGUGGUGGUAGUGGUGGUGGUGGUGGUGGUGAUAUGAUGGACACGCAUAUCAAAGAUCUGGCAAUAAAAGCUAUAAAAUAUAACACGUGUCAGUUAGCUAAAAGACAGAUUGAGAAGAUUCAACGGUUAAGAUCAGCUGGUUGGGAUUUACGGCGGUUAAUUGCUACUGAAGCAUUUCGGGCUGUUUUGUUGUCAGAUUCCGAUAUGUCGUCCGAAAUUUGGGAGAAAAAUGUGGUGGAACCAAGCGUGAAGAUUGUGAAGACGUUUUUAGAAGAGUAGUUGUCCCAUUACAUUUCAAACUCUUUUUUUUUUUUUUUUUUUUUUUUUCAGUUCAACUCUCUUUCUCUUCUCUGAGUUCUCUCCCUCUUUGAAUCGGUUAGUCAAGAUUAUUUGACCUAAGGUUGACCAAAUUUUAAAAUUUUUUUGGGAAAAACCUAAUGUGGUCAAGUUCUUGAUGAGGAAUAGAGAGGAAGAGAUGAGAAUUUAUUUAUUUUGCAGAAAAAUAUCUCAUAAAGAAAAAGUUAACUUUUUUUUUUGUCUCAUUUUUUGUUUAGUUUAGUGUUAUAUAAACUUUUUGUGAAAGUUGUGUUUAUGACACAUUUUUAAUGUGAGAACAAAAUUAGAAGAUGAGCCAAGAAUGACCUUUUUGAACUAGUGUAAUCAUUCCAUUUGAGAUUGGUAGUGUGCAAAAACAUGAAAAAGUGAAAAGUGCAGAUAUAUGCAUGAGACAAAAACAAAGAUAGGAGAGAGAGUGAAUAAAGGAGAUGCUAUUGUGCAAUCUUUUUUGCAAAGAGUUGUAUACAGGAGCAAGAAGAAGAAGAAUUAGUCCCUUUUGUUUCUCAUCUUAUUAAUCCCAACUGUCCUAUGUUAUAGGAGAUUUAGUCUCUUAUUCCAGUAAAUAGAAUCUCCCCUUAUAAAACGUACCAAUUUGAAAUAUAUAGUUUUGAGAUAUAAGGGUAUUGCAUAUACAUAUUUGCAUGUAAUGUGUAAUACUACUGAAAAUGGUGGAAGGUGACAUUCAAUACAAGUUUUUGCAAUAGGUUGAACAGAUGUGUUUGCAAUGGAACUUCUUGCAUGAUUUUGUUACUGUUGAGUGUUGAGUCAAUGUUUGAAAGGAAUCCAAGUGUAGUUUAAGUCUCACUGAAAGGUCUUCUGAGAAUAGUGGUCCUAAAACAACCAAGAUUGUUUCAUUAUUUAAGAAUUCCUCGUAUGGAUACAAGUCCAAAGUACCAAAAUAGUCUUGAAAUGGACCUAUAGUCAAAUCUGUGAUUAUGAUCCAAAGUGAUCAAAGUACUGACUGACUGAGACUGAAAAAUUGACAAAAUGUUCUUGUUUAAGUUCCAGAAAGUAAAUACUUCAUCCGUAGCAUAUAUGAGAAGAAAGUUGAAACUGCACUAAUGUUUAGACAAGUUGGUGUCAAUUGCAGUCUAACAAGAAGAAGAACAGACACACCAGAGACAGAUGUAGUGAUGUAUAAACUAGUACUAGACUACAACUACUACUACUAGCUUAGCCUGCCUGAGUGCCUGACCACUCUCUAAAUGUUUUUUUUUUGUUUUUUCACAAAACAGGCUAGGCUAGGGUGGCCCCCCUACACUAUGUGAAAGAAUUUAAAUGUGACCUUAAAUUUUGGUUUGAAUGGAUUUCAUUUUUUUUCCCAAUCUCUGAUUAUAAUUAAUUUUCUUUUAAACAACAUAUGUAACCACAUAGGAUGAGGAAUCAUAAGGCCUUUAAAAAAGACAGCAAUAUGGAUAAUACCUCAUGGAGAUGUAUAACUUAGCUCACCAUGUAUAACUUAAGGGCCAAGAUGAUCAGGGAUGCAAACCUUGGGCUUCAAAGAUACAGGGUAAUGCACAUCUCAAAGGUAAGAAGGUACACACUUCAAAGCAAUGUCGAUUACUGGAUGAGGGAUUCUAUCACUUGUGUUGAUAAAAAAUUAAAAACCAACUACUGUACAUUAUUUGAAUAAGAGAACAUGCACCUUACACCAUAUUUUGAACCCUUGUGAAGUGCAUGUCUGCUUCCUUAAUAUUAUUAUGUUGAAGUGUACUUAAUUAUCCAACAUAUAUAUGGCCUUUUCUUUAAUCAAAAUUAAUACACCCUCAAAACCUUGAUUUAGAUAUAUUUAUUAAUGGAUAGAGAAAAAGCUAAUUACUCCGUAAAAGAUAUCUUUCCUCAUAAUUUAGGGGUUUGAGCUUCUCUAAUAAAAUAUAUAGUGAUAGAAAGGUCCAGUAGAACUGAUCCAAUAACAAAGUGAUCAAUCUGACACAUUCCAUUGACUGACAAUCAAACCAUAAUGCAGGCGUGUUACACCCCCAAGUAACCUUAUUGGGUUUCUAUGUCUGAAUGGAGCAAGCAUGCUUGAGUUUAAUUAGCAAGGUUUUUGGUAAGGAUGUUAGUCUUAAAAAAUUAAUAAUUGAACCAUGUUUUUCUUGAUUAAAUGAAUAUCCACAUCAUGAUGAAGAAUGGUAUGGGAGAUCCAAGAUGUCCAAACAUGAGAAUGGAAGACCAGGGCCUCGAGAAGAGAGUGAAGGAGAAUUAUAUACCAAGCAAUGUUAUGUACAAGUGACCUCGUUAUGUACACCUGGUUUCUGGCACAGUGCAGGUAGUGCAAAGUCUGUCUUCUGCAUUUCAUGCGUGCGCUGUGUUUUUUUUUUCCUACUCAUGAUCCUAUAUGGUCUUUAGAUUUGAAAAAACCAAGGUAAGAAAGUGGUACUAAUAAACUACUAGUACUAGAGGCAAUGCAAGUCUAGGCCCAAUUAUUGAAGCCUAAUAAUAAUUUUUCCAGAUCAUGCUGAGAGAUCCAUGCCCAUGUCCAUUAAUAUUUUAAAAGUAAUUUUGGAUGUAAUUGUGAGAAUACAAUAAAUGAAUAAAGUUGAAGAUCAAAACUUAUACAAAAGAAUGAAUAAAGUUGAAGAUCAAAACUUAUACAAUGUUGUUGGUGUCAGAAGAAUUACAUUUGAAGCAAUACCGGUUUGUUUUUAUUGUUUUUUUUUUUUUUAAAAAGUGCCUUCAUAUUAAUAAUCGGCAAAUUUUAUUGAGUUAGAUCAAAUUUAGUUGCAUACUUGCGAUAAAUGUACUUUUCCCCAAAACCAUUAUACCGGUAUUAUAAAGAAAAUUAACAUUUCACAAAUGGAGAUGUUCAACUAAGGCAUCACAACUACAAUCUAUCUAUCACAAAUAAGAUUGUAGGGAUUACAAGUAAUAAAAUUAUAAUAGUUGAUGAUAUAAUAAACUACUAUUACUAGAGGCAACGCAAGUCCAGGCCAAUUAUUGAAGCCUAAUAAUAAUAUUUUUGGAUUAUGCCCAUGUCCAUUAAUAUCUUAAAAUAAUUUUGGUUGUCCUGAAGUAAUGUGAGAAUACAAAGAAUAAAUAAAGUUGAAGAUCAAAACUUAUACAAUGUUGUUGGUUUCAAAAGAAUUACAAAAAAAAAAAAUGCUUUCAUAUUAAUAAUCGGCAAAUUUUAUCGAGAUAGAUCAAAUUUAGUUGCAUACUUGCAAUAAAUGUACUUUUCCCCAAAACCAUUAUACGGUAUUAUAAAAAAAUUAACAUUUCACAAAUAGAGAUGUUCAACAAAGGCAUCACAACCACAAUCUAUCUAUCACAAAUAAGAUUGUAGGGAUUACAAGCAAUAAAAUUAUAAUAGUUGAUGAUAUAAUAAACUAUACUAUUACUAGAGGCAAUGCAAGUCCAGGCCCAAUUAUUAAAGCCUAAUAAUAAUUUUUCUAGAUCAUGUUAAGAUAUCCAUGCCCAUGUCCAUUAAUAUCUUAAAGUAAUUUUGGUUGUCUUGAAGUAAUGUGAGAAUACAAGGAAUGAAUAAAGUUGAAGAUCAAAACUUAUACAAUGUUGUUGGUUUCAGAAGAAUUACAUUUGAAGAAUUUUUUUAUCUCUUCAUAUUAAUAAUCGGCAAAUUUUAUCGAAUUAGAUCAAAUUUAGUUGCAUACUUGCGAUAAAUGUACUUUUCCCCAAAACCAUUAUACGAUAUUAUAAAGAAAAUUUAGUAUGUUUUAAUUCAACUAAUACAAAAUAAUGAUUUCUUAUUGAUUGAUCGCAGUAUACAUAUAAAAGAAUUGUAAACAGAAUAUUAUUAUGUAUGUAUACACAUAUCCAAAGUACCUUAUUGAUGAUCUUGUAAGUUACUGAAUUGUGAUGAAUGAUGAAUCUUUGCUUAAUAAGAAAUUAAUAAAAUUUUCACAAUGAAGUUUCUUUAUUGUGGUUUGUGAGGGUGAUCCGUCCCUCUCUCACUCGCCUUUUCCAAUUGAUAAUAUUGAUGUUCUCAACAUUUUAGGGUAUAAGAUUAGAAAGAGCGAGAGAUCAAAAUUAAAUGAUCAACAGUUGGAAGGCGUGUGUACUAUAAAGAACUGUCUUUUAUUAAAUUCCUGCUAAAAGGUGCCUAGAAACUCAAGAAUAUCUAUAAGGUCACGGCAAGUACUGUUUGGAUGAGUUAUUGUCGGACCUUAGAGAUGAACUUAUAGCUUUAGUGCCUGGAGGUACUAAUCUGAACUUUGUUGGGAAAGAUGACGGAAAGAAAGGGAAAUCCAUCUCUUUUUAGUGCUUUGGGUGAUGCACUAUUUUCGAAUACAAUUAUUUUAUUGUUCCAUUUAUCAUUCAUUAUGUAUGUGCUUCUUUUCGCUGCACAACCUGAUUCUUUCAUAUCUUGUGAUUUCAUGAAGUCUCACUGCUAUAGUCUGAAAUCUCACUGCUUUUUUGGAUUGUCAUUCCACAUAAGAUAUACGGGAUUGUGCACAUUAGUUGGUACAGAUUUUAUAUUCGCUCAAGAUUAGUUUUUAUAUAUGCGCAAUUGUAAAAUAUUUCUCUAGCUUUCUAUACGUAGAGAAUUUAUUAGGGCGACAAUUUAAUUAUUGCUUGAAUAAUUUCUUCAUCUGUAGACAAUUCCAUCACUGUAUCAUUCUUGCUAGAAUUUAUUAGGACGAACAUCUUUUGAACUAUUCUAGAAUAGUUCAAAAGAUGUUCGUCCUAAUAAAUCCUUUAGACAGUUUAUUUUAAAAAUAAUAAAUAUUAGUUUAUCGAUAAAUGAAUAAAUUAUUUAGUUUAUCGAUAAAUGAAUAAAUUAUUUAGUUAUCGAUAAAUAAAUAAUCUCGCUUAAGUAAUAAAAAAAUUCGGUCCCCAAGGUAUUCAUUUAUCGAGGUUUUACUGUAGUUGAGAAAUUACCCAUUAAUAAAAAAAAUUACUUUAUCACUUUGAUAUAAUAUAGUCUUUUAUAAUUUAAUUUACUAUCCCCAUUUUCUUAAUUUUUAUAAAAUCACAAUCUUCACAAAAUGUAACCUAACAUUCACACAAAAUUUUCCUGGUAGUUCAUAAGAUCUACAUUACUCUCUACUCACAAUCUUCCUGUGAAAUUGCUGGGAGAAACAUGUAAAGGGGAUUAUAUAGUUUUAUUGAUUAUGUAGUUUUCUUUUACAAGGUGUUACUUGUGAGAGUGAUCCGUCCCUCUCUCACUCAUCUUUUUUUUUUUUUUAAAUAUUUCUGUUUAUUAAGGAAAUUUAAACUGUAUUAAAAAAUAAAAUAAAAUAUUGGAAGAAAUUGAUAAUAGUGAUGAUACAUUCUUGCGAAAAAUGGCAAAAACUAAUUUUGUCCUUAACGGAUAUGCUAUCACUCAUUAAUUUUGUCCCUAACUCAUGCUAUCACUAAUGGUGUAUGAUCAUGAUCCCCAUCGUGUUUACUAUAGGUUUAGGAACAAGUAGCUGUGCUACACUACUACUAGCCUAUCCUAACGUUUUUCUUUCUUUUUUGCUUCUGGUUUUCUUUGUAUUCUUUAAUUUAAUAAAAAUAUUACCCAGGGAAAAAAACUAAUGGUGAUUGGUGAUUUUUUUUUUUUUUUUUUUGCCAAGUAAGCUGGGGUUAAGGCAGACCCCCACCUGGCCACCUGUAUUCAUUAAAGAAAAUUUACAUUCAAGCUUUUGUACCGCCUGGGCUUAAUUAAUAAUAUUGGGUCUAUUGGAGAGGAGGCCCAUGAUGGGGAGUAACACUGUAACUGUGUAAGUGGUGAUGCACUGAUGCCUAACCUUAUUGAAUUUGAUCACAUGGGUGCAAAGCUUCCUGGAAGUUCAUCAUUUUAGAAAAUGUAAUCUAGGAAUCUAGUAAUCACAUAAAUCUUUCCUGGAAGUUCAUAAUAAUAUCCAGAGACAAUCUUUAUUUAUAUUAAAUUUAGAGAACAUAUAAAGGGGAUUGGACAGUCUUAUUGAUUUUGUAGUAGUUCCUUGCGAGGGUGAUAUACAAGUAAGCACAAUUGCAUGCAGAAACCCUAGGAGAUAACUACUUGAUGCUUUGGUAUUACUUACGUCCAAGUGCAAUGUAAUUAGGAUUUAGGAGGGUGACAACUGACAACCUCUGUAGCUAGGCUGUAUUAAAUGUCUGUCAAGAUGUUCCAUAAAAGAUUAGCAUGCAUGUAGCAACAUAUUACAAGAUUUAGAAAUCAUCUGGAAUUAAAAGACCCAUCAAUUAGAAAUUUAUGUUUGUUUUUUAAUUAAGAAAUCAAUUAGAAAUACAAUAACUAUUAUACAAUUAAAACUUAUAUAUACUCCUCUUCUUUUCUGCUGCUUACUAUCAAGUAUCAACAGGUUUGUUACAUACAGUCACGCGUUCUUCUUUGCUCGGGCUUUCUCUUGUGAUCAGUUAAUAUGGAAGACGACAACACAAAGAAGAGUAUUCUUCCAAAUGAUGUGAUUAUCGAUAUACUAUUAUUCUUACUGAUCAAAUCAUUAAUGCGAUUCAGAUGCGUCAACAAAACUUGGCUUCGAUUACUUACAAACGAUCAUCCCCACUUUGCUCAAUCAUAUUUAAGCAAAUCCAACAAAAAUAAAACUACCAUUCUAGCCUUGGGUAUGGAAGAAUUCCAAGACAAAACCAAGAUUUAUUCUGCUGUAGAAUUAAGUUUAGCAUGUGAUAAAGCUAUAGACUUGGAAUUACCAUUUUCUGCUAAAUCCUACUUUGUUGGUGGUAUUCGGAAUGGAUUGAUAUUGUUACGUAUAGCCGAUGUAAAGAACAAGCUUUUCAUAUGGAACCCAUUUACUAAUGACUACAUCCAUAUACCGUACCAUCUCCACCUCCUCCCAAUCAUUCUGAUUGUUGUGAUAAAAUUACCAACUUUGGGUUUGGUUUUUUUCAACCUACUAAUCAGUAUAAGGUUAUAAGUUUUAGUGAAUGUAAUUAUACAUCAUUUCACCCUAUUUCACGUGUCAGUGUCUACACUCUUGGUACAGACUCUUCGUUGUCAUGGAGAAAAACUUAGGGUGAUUUAGGUUUUGGUCACCAAACUUAAGUAUAAAUUAGGAUUCACAGACGGUUUUUUUCUUUAUUAGGGUUCACAGAUCAACCAAAUAACAUUAUUAAAUGGCAAAAAUACCCCUAUUCCAAUUUACACUAAAUUCCAAACAAAGUACUGACCUACAUCUUCUACAUCUGUUCAUCCCUCAGAUGGAUGGCUGGAUCUACAUCUUUUAAUUCCAUUCAUCCCUCAAACAAUCUUCAUCAAAUUUAUUAGGGAUGAACAAUAUGGACAAAGCAAAUCACAUCAAUUACAUCUUUCUAGAAGCUACUCUCUCUUAAAAACCCCCCUUUUCUGGUUACUUGUUUCAAAGUUCAUUCUUUUUGUUUGGAUUGUUGGAAAUUGGUUGGAGGGGAAACAUAUGAUUUGAAAAAACAAAGAAAAUUUAGAUGUGGGUAUUAAAGGAAAAUUCAAUUAAAAGAUGGGUGAUAUUCCAGAUAUUUUUCUGUGGCUGAUUGCUAAAAGGGUUUGUAUAGGAAAGUUUCAAUUUUGAUUUCAGAUUUCAUUUAAUCAAGCUAUGGGUUCUCUAAAUAAUUUUAUUUUCAAUGUGGGAUUUUCAAAUUUUAGAGCUUCCUUGAGUCUGUGUUGUUGUAAGGGGUUUUUUCCUUUAAAACAUUGGGAAGAAGAUCGACUUCUUGAAAAUAUGUGUGAAGAUGCCAUUGUUAGAAGAAGAAAAGAAAGGGGUGGUGUAUAUGUAAUGUAGAACUUAGAAGAAAGAGAUAAGAAUCUCUCAAAGAAGAUGAGAAGAUAGGGUUAGGAAUCUAGACGAACGUGAAGCUUGGAAUCCACCAAGUAAAAAGAAGGAAAAGAUGAAUAAUCUAGCAAGAAAACAAGGAUAACUCAAGAAGCAAUUCUUCUAUUCAAUUCAAUAAUAAUCAACCUCUAACUAUUACAAUAAUCUAGAGCUUCUUUUAUAGAGCACGAAGCUUGUUUAACAAGUAAAGGACUUCUAAAUUAAACGACUUCUAAAAACAUAAUGAUUCCUAAUAUAAUAUACUUAGACCUAAAACAAUAUAUUCUAGAAUCUAUUUCAUACUUAGAAUUAAAAUAGUAACUCCUAACAUGUCCUACAUCAGUCUCCUCUUCUUUAAAAUAACUCGCCCUCGAGUUAUGCAUUGGAAUCACAAGGGAGUCACUUCCUAAAGACGAGAGUAUAAUGCUUCCAUGAUCCUCCCACUUCUUCUUUUGGCUUCGAGAAGGGAAAUAAAUCCAAGGAUAACAUAUCAAUUUGAAGUGUGUGUCGCCAAACAAAGCUUUAACAUUCCCUUUAUAAUUAAUGGAUAUCGAACAAAAACGCUCAAAAGGGUCUUCAUAAGUAGGAAAGGUAGAACAUGCAAUAAACUCCUCUUCUUUAAAGAAGUCGGCUAGGUUAAAAUCAACACUCUCCUCUUGAGAAAAAGACGAAAUUGGUUGGAUGGUGGAGGGAACCAUAGGUGUAGAGGGGAGAGAGAUGAUGGUGGCUGGAAUAUUGGAUGUAGAUACGGGGAUCUCUUCAUCUAUCUUGUCUUUACCUUGAAGAAAUUGAGAAAUUUGGCGGGUGAGUUGAUCAAUAGAAUCUUUUAACUCUUUUGUCAUGGAAGCUUGACUUUCUUUAAGAGAAUUGAUCGCUGCAUCAAAAUCUUUCUUUGAAACGAAAUCUUUUUGAUUAGGUGCCAUUGGAUGUUAAGAGAGAACAAAAAAUUGUUGCAGAAAAAAUAAUUUGAUUCGACACCCUGUAGUAGAACGACCGUAUCUCCCUGCUCAGAAUUCUGAAUUGCGAACCGUCGAUUGGGUUAGAAAGAAGAAUCAAAGAUCUUUCCAACAAGCUAUAGCACGCAUACUACUAGUUCAAUGUAUUCUGUCUUGGACAAGCCUGCAAAGAUGACGAAUUUCCUGAAUCUGGAUGGACGAAAACUGCUUGAACGGAAGGUGACGACGGACCGCUUUCUAGAUAAGGAUCUAGAAAGUGAGGCUCUUGAUACCACUUAAUGUAGAACUUAGAAGAAAGAGAUAAGAAUCUCUUAAAGAAGAUGAGAAGAUAGGGUUAGGAACCUAGACGAACGUGAAGCUUGGAAUCCACCAAGUAAAAAGAAGGAAAAGAUGAAUAAUCUAGCAAGAAAACAAGGAUAACUCAAGAAACAAUUCUUCUAUUCAAUUCAAUAAUAAUCAACCUCUAACUAUUAUAAUAAUCUAGAGCUUCUUUUAUAGAGCACGAAGCUUGUUUAACAAGUAAAGGACUUCUAAACUAAACGACUUCUAAAAACAUAAUGAUUCCUAAUAUAAUAUACUUAGACUUAAAACAAUAUAUUCUAGAAUCUAUUUCAUACUUAGAAUUAAAAUAGUAACUCCUAACAUGUCCUACAUCAAUAUGAAUGGGGGGAAUUCAGUAAAUAAUAUUUGAGGUAACUUUGUUUCAAAAUUUCCUUUGGGUGGCCUUGGCUACUGCAUGGGUUGGUGUAGAUGGUUAUUUUGCCUCGAUCGAGACUAAUAACUCAUUUAAUCACUUUGUAUAACUAAUGUGCAAGCUAGAGUGAAGUAAUUUUUUUUCUGUAUGAGAGUAUAACUGUGACAUGCUCUGUAGCUAGGCUACAUAUAUCUGUCAAGUGUAAAGCAACAAUGAUCUUCUUGAACUGAUUUAGCAUGCAUUGUCUUAGUUCUGAGUGUUCUCUAUUUCAUGGAAAAGAAUUGAAUUACUGAUAGAUUGUGAAGUUUCUACUUGAGAGAGAGAGAUAAUAGCCGUAAGGGCUAAGAAAUGAGAAUCAAGAAUAGUGCCCAAUAUUGUCUUCUUACACAAAUAACUGAACAUGUUGGCAAUGCAUAUUGAACAUAGUUCUACACCAACAACAUGUUAAGGGUUGAACUUCAAUAUGCUUCUUAACAGGGCACAUUCCCUUUGUGGUAUACUUGUAGGUUCAGACGUCUGAGGGCUAAAGAUGCAGGGGACAGGGGUAUAACAUGGCUGCACUAUGAGUCUUAUAUGUACUGUACUACUGUAAUUGGUUAUAUUGAGAUUAAUAAUACUGAUCACUAUUCUUCAAAUCACUGAAUUGGUAUGUAUGCAAUAAAUUACUGUAGAGUACAGGUCAUUCCAAAAGCCACUGCAGAGUAAAUAUUUGAAGCUAUUAAUCUGAUGUCCUAUAAUUCAAGAUUUCAAGGUAUAUGCAGUUAGUGUGAGUGUAGCAGGAAGCUUGUUUCUGUCUUUUUUUUUUUUUCCCUGUUUUUGCUAGCAGCUAUAUUCCUGAGGGUCGCAGUUGAUGCAAUUAUGCAAAUGUAUCACGUAUCAGUGAUAGUUGUUUAGCCAAUAUUGAAUAGAACUGAGUUAGUAUAUGAAUGGUCCAAUACCAAAUGUCAACACGUAUUAUUAUUCAACCUUAAUACAUAUAUGCAUAUUAUCUUGUGUGUAUUUUUGCCUAGGCUUGACUUAUAUAGCUGAUCCUCUAUGAUUUAUGAAAUGUCAACUAACAUUUGAUAGAAAAUGUCAACUAACAUUAUCAAAUUAUUGUAAUGCUAUCGUAUGUAUUUCUAAUGAGUCUAUUUAAACGCACAUGUAAGAAAUGUGACUAUUAGAACGUACAGUCAACUUCAGAUCAAGCUUUUGAUUUGUUCCGAAUGCAGUCUAAAGUAUAAGGGUAUAUAAUACUUUUGAUUCCAGUUAUAAUCUUCUAUAUUAUGAGUUAUAAGCACAGUUAGUCAUUUUCAAAUUGGCCUCACUUGGACAGACGAAUUAGAGCUGUUCUUUUUUCUUCAUUAAUUAUACAUUUUUGCCGUAAAAGUCAUAAGUCAAAUGACAGACCAAAUUAGCAACAAAUCCUAUCUGAUACAUUCUUAAUCCAUGUACUUUCCAGGUAAAAAUGUCAUAUUGAAUGCUAUAUCAAACUUUAUCGAUCAACCCAGUACGUGUUCUCUAAGAUUACCGUUGACAACAGAAUGGUUACCCGAAAAAUGUUACCUGCUCUUAAGAAGGGGUCUGGUAAUCUAGUAUUACAAGUUGCAUCUCUUUGAUGAUCUCUGGUAAAUGGUUUGACAAAUAUCAUUUUCACUGAUAAUCAACCCUUUGACCUGCACAGUUUGUCAACCAUAAAAGUGAUUAAUUCAUGAUUUGUCAAAUAUGAAAGCCAAAUGAUAUCCUUGUCAAUAUGUUGUUUCCCUUUGUGAACUAAGCCGCAAUUGUAUAGCCAACGUGCUCAAAGCAUUAACAAUAAGAACAAAACCAGCUUUGUUCAUAAUCUUCACUGCACAUCAAUAUUGAUAUUGAUGUCACAACAUUUUUCUUGUUUCAAGUAGCCAAGAACUUAGAUGUUAUAAUACGUGUUGCCUCACUAUAGGUUGUGUGUGUAGAGUUAAAGAUUAGUAUUAAAUACCUAUGAGCAUAUGAUCACAUUUUAAUUCAAAUCUUAAAAAUAAGUGUAAUCCAAAGCAUAAAACUAGGAAGGAGGUUUCACAACAGUUUUCCCUAAAAUGCCUAAAACUUCAACACCCAAGCAAUUUGUCAACGGUCAUAAUGGUUGGCUCUUUUACCUUUUAAAAUUAAAAAAAAAAAAACAAAUCAUGAUUAAUUAAAAUUAAUGAAAACCCAUCUUCAUCAAUAUAUACUGUACCUCAAACAAACUCCUUGUAUAUCUCUUUCUCUCCAUCUAUCUUUCUUCAAUAAAUAGUGGAUUUCAAUCUAGAUCAAUUUAAUUCAGAACACAUACAUCAAGUACACAUAAUUGUUGCAACAAUGAGUCCAUGCAAAUUUUAUGAUGAUCAACAAGCCAAAAAGGAGAUUAAUGGUACGCGUCCAGCACCUUUGAAGAUCAAUAAGGAUUCUCACCUUAUUCAGAAAUCAUCUUCAUCGUCUUCGUCUUCAAAUUCAUCAUCAUUAUCUGGUAUUGCAACUGCAGGUGCAAAACAACAUCCCCCACCAGCUCAACAACAGAGACAUCCUGUUAUCAUCUAUACACAUUCGCCAAAAAUUAUACAUACCAAAGCGCGUGAUUUUAUGGCAUUGGUUCAAAAACUUACUGGUCUUUCACAUUCUGAUGAGGAUCAAACUGUGCAUAAUACUCAAGGUAAUGAUGUUCGUGGUUCAUGUUUGGAAAGUAAGGGUAAAAAUAAUGUGAAGGCUGUUGGACAUGAUGAUACCACGUCUUCGUCGGUUAUAACUGAUGAGAAUUGCGGUGGUGGUGGAAUUACAGAUGUUCAAGUGAAUUCAUCAUCUGUUUCUCCAGGAUUUGAUCCACCUAAUCCUUAUUUAUCAGAUGUCCCAUUCUUUACACCAAAUUCAUCGGACUUUUUCUGUUCGUCUAGGCCAUAUUAUAGGUAUCCAGAUCAUAUGCUUUCCUCUCCAAACAUGGGUACCGCGAUUUCUCCUGCAAUGCUUGAGGUAUUGAAGGGUUAUCCAGAUUAUUGCAAUUAAGUUGCUAUUCAUCAUUGGAGUCUAGGCUUUUUCUGGUUCAAAGAUGAGUUAUUUCAUCUUUUUGAAUUUUCCUUUUUGUCAGGUAUAAAGAUGUAAAUGAUAAGAUUCAUUCAUUUUUUUAGCUAACCAAAGAGAAUCAUGUUCUCUUUGAUGUUGGGUUUAGAUUGAUUUUCCUCCUAACUUUAGUUUGUAUAAAGUUUUGAAUUCUUAAUGUAAUAAGAUUUAACAUGGAUCAAUUUGAUUCAUUUGCAAUAAACUCUCCAAUCAUUUUGUUUAAGUGAGUAAAUUGAUCCAUGAAGACUUCUAGUUAUUAUCUUGAGUGAAUUCUUCAUUUCUGCACCAAUUUGAUUAUAUGAACUAUGCAUGCUUCUCAUGUUGGUGAACUCAACAUAUUUUAAUAGAAGUCUAUGUAUUGAAAGUUUUGAAUGACAACAUAUCAAGCAGAAUGUUUGAGCCAAAACGUGUUUUACCAAUUGCAAACUUUGGAUUAAAAAUUGACAGGACUGCAACAACAUAUAUAUAAGUCGUAGUCACAAAGUUGGAGGAAAGUGGGCCGGAAGAUUUGACAUAUAAAAGCCAUUGAAUAAGACCAUUAAUAAAAAAGAAACAACAGCCAAGACUAACAAUGGUUGUAAGCUAGGGAAUAUUACUUGUUAUAUAUCCUCGACAUGCUAAAUAUAUACAUACAUGAAUCUGGUCAAGCAGUCACCAUUUCAUCAAGAAGAGGAUAAGUUCUCCAUGUUCAUAUAGGACAUUUUCACAUUAGAAAGUGGACAUAUAUUUAUAUUCAGGUCAUUUAAAUUUUCCUAGAAGUUCAUAAUAUCUACAUACUCUACUCACAAUCUUCCUGUGUAAUGCUUGGAGGAACAUGUAAAGGGGAUUGGAUAGUACUGUAUUGAUUCUGAAGUUUUCUUUUAUAAGUUGUGAGGAUGAUCAAUCUUUUUGUCUCUCACCCUUUAGCAAACAAAAGUUUCUCUCUAACCCAUCUUUUCUUUGUAUAAUCUGUUUAUAUAAAGUUUAAACAGUAUCGAAAAUAAAUAUAGAAAUUAAUAAUAUUGAUGCUCUUAAGCAGGUUUACAAUCUAACACCACAAGGUGCUCAAGUGUAUCUAAUAUCAAAGCGAAAAUAAUACCCGUAUUUCAAUUUUGUAUAAAAGGACAUUGAAUGAGCAUAUAUAUUCGUUUUUCAGCAACAUAUUUAUGCCUUCACACAAAAGACACAAAAGGGAGAGGUAUGAAGUAACGACUUAUACCAUGUUGGUUUCACAAGAUGUAGGGUUACAAGAUUUUGGCAGUGAGACAAGGCUGCUUGUGUAAGAUAGCAAAGGACCCUCCCACCGCCUCAGUUCUGAUUGAUGAUCGAAACACAAGAACCCAGUCUUAUGGUUGUAUGAGAUAACAAUACCUUCAUUGUCUUCAAUUUUAUAAUUCAACCAAAACAUCACCACAUCUCCACCUUCAUACGGCAAUGCUUGUCGAAAAUGAUCAAUAGUACAAGCCUUUGCCAGCUUUAUUGUCAAAGUAGGGUUACCAAAAAGUCCGGCCUUCAUGGUAAUUAUUACAGCCCAUAAUAUAAGCUUGGCCCAGAAGUCACACUUCUGAGUUUUUAUAGAAUCCUCCAGACAAUCACCUGUUUGACAUUGUAUAGAAUUCUCUAGAAUAGCCUGGUGUACAGAGUUAUUAGAAUUCUCUAGAAUAACUGGUGAACAAGUAUAUAUAUACAUUACAUUGAAUGUACUGGAGAUUAAGGCUGUGCUUGUUUCCCCGGAAGUUUAGGGGAAACGGAAAUGGAAAAUUUUCUUUUUUUAAAAGAGGUAACAAUUUUUCAACAGUUUCCAUUAAUUGCCGGUUAUGCUGCUUGGUACAACAUGACUAUGAAAUUAAAAAAGAGAAACGUGGCAAGAUAUAAAACUUUGGGACCAAUGGGGACCACGAAUAAGAUGCUAGAUUUUUUGUUUUACAUAGAAAUCCGGGUUGAUUAAAACAGUAAUAAAUGCUGACGUGUUUUACAUUUUUAAAAUUCUUUUACGGAGGGCCCACACAUAACUCAAAUCACCAAGCUAGCACUCGAAAAAGCAAAAGUACAGAAAAUAGCUGACAUGUAUUUACUUUCCAGGUUUUUUCCUGGGGAACAAGCACAGCCUAAGAGAGUGAAAUAACAUUCAAUUCCUUACCAUCCUCUUUGUUCUUUCUCAGUAAUAAUUUCAAAUAGCCUCUUCAAGCUCAAGCAAUAUUUCUUCACCCACUUAAACUCUGUUGUUUUAUCGGAUAUCAAAACCCAUGUGUCUGGUGGAGCAGAGGCAAUUUUGCAUGCUGUUAAUCGGUUUGUUUAUUCCAACAAAGAUGACACAUCGCUUUCCAUGCUGCUUGUGGACUUUCAGAAUGCCUUCAACCUUGUUGAUCGAUCUGCUAUGUUACGGGAGGUGCGCAGUCAUUGUCCAUCUAUUGCUCUAUGGGUCGAAUACCUCUAUUGCCAAUCUGCUCGAUUGUACCUAGGGUCUACUCAUAUUUGGUCAGCAGCUGGGAUACAGCAGGGGGAUCCUUUGGGGCCUCUUCUCUUUGCUUUGGUCUUGCAUCCAUUGAUACACCGCAUUCAGUCAGAAUGUCACUUGGAGUUGCAAGCAUGGUACUUAGAUGAUGGUACUCUAAUUGGUAGUACAGAACAUGUGGCCAUAGCUAUUCGUAUCAUUCAGGAAAGAGGACCAUCUCUUGGGCUCGUGCUUAAUGUGUCUAAGACAGAGUUGUUUUGGCCUUUUGUUGUUCCUGACUGCUCCUAUCCAGAUAUCUUUUCGGUUGGUAUAUCAUGUCCUCAGCGAGGGGUUAAGUUGCUAGUAGAGGCUGUAAGUAUUGAUGCAUCCUUUAUUAUGGGUAAUGUUCGUCAACGAGUGGAUAAGAAAUUUCAGCUUAUGGGUUUAUUACCACAGCUAAAGGAUCCGCAAUGUGAGUUGGCACUUUUACGUUCUUGUAUGGGAUUAUCUAAACUCACCUUUGCUCUCCGUACUUGCCCCCUGAUUAUGUUUAGGAAACAGCCGAAUGGUUUGACCACAAGCUUCGUUCAGCCCUUCAGAAUAUUGUGGUUUCUGAUGGACCUGGUUUUGGCGAUCUACAGUUGCGUAUGGCAACCCUCCCAUUGCGUAUGGGUGGACUUGGUAUCUAUUGUGCUAGUGAUGUUAUGAAGUUUGCUUUCGUAGCUUCACGUACGCAAACCAAGAAUCUCCAAGACCACAUCCUUCGAGGUUGUGAGACUACACCUAUGGGUAAUGUUUUUGAUACUGCCAUUGCUAGUUUACAUCUUUCUAUACCUGAUUUUGAUCUCAGUAAUCUUGCUCCAACUGCUACCGUCCCCUUCAGACCCCAACAUGUCUUGGCGGAAGCAUACUACAACAAGAUUAGUUCUGGCAUUGAGAGGGAAUUUGAGUUGUCAGCUAAACAAAAAGCCGUGAAUGGAUGUGUGCAGUCAGAACAUGCCAAAGAUUUUCUCCUUACUAUCCCGAUGGAAGGGCUUGGACAACGCAUGACGCCUGUAGAAUAUCGUGCCAUUCUUCGUUAUCGAUUGAGGAUCCCUUUAUAUUAAGAUGGUGAGCUUUGUCCAGUGUGCAAGAAGAGCAAACUUGAUGCAUUCGGGGACCAUGCGGCCCAUUGUAAGCAUUACCCCGGCUUCAAGUACAGGCAUGACCACGUUAGAGAUAUCUUGUGUGAUGUGUUCUGGCGGGCUGGAGUACAGGUUAAGAAGGGGGUUCCUGUUAACUUUCUUACUGAUCCUAAGGAAGGAAGAUCGACAUUACGUCGUGCUGAUAUUCUGGUCUACAACUGGUCUGAAGGUAAACAUGUGUGUGUUGAUGUUAUAGGGGCGUCUCCGAUGGUUGGGCUGGGUGUUGGGAUUUUUGAGGUGGGGCUAGCAGCUAGCAAUGCAGCAGCAGCAAAAGUGGAGAAACAUGACGAAGCUUGUAAGGCUAACCAACAUAGUUUCAUCCCAUUUGCAUUUGACACAUUUGGAUUGCUAGGCUUAGAAGCAGUUGAGCUCCUCAGGAGAGUACAGAAGGUAAUGGAUAGCAACGUGAUGACUGCGGGUUCGAACGAAUAUGUAUUUAGGAGAAUCGGGUUUGCUAUCCAGAAAGGACUUGUCGCGCAGUUUGUAGCGCGUUUGUCCUCUACUUUUGUGUAAUUCGUUGAGCUUAUCAAUAAAAUUUAUUAUUUUUAUCAAAAAAAAAAAAAACUAAUAAUAUAUCCAUAGUACUGUAUAACCAGCUUCUCCGGUAUAAAAUUAGAAAAAUAAUAAAGAACUUUCUAUACAGUAUAAUUUCGUUUUGAUACUGUCUGCGAAUAUAAUUGUCGUAAUCAUAGAUAAAUUGUAAUGGUACUCUACAAUAUAUAUUUUUUGGACUCAGUUUAAUUAUAAUAAUUUAUUUUUGAUAUUAUACUUACUCCUCAACCGAUUUUAGAUUUUUAGGAGGUCAAUUAUAGUUGGGUGGGAAUAAAAAUAGUGUCCGUUUAUCACUUUCACAAAUAUAAAGAAAAAAAAGAAAAACAAUUCUCUUCCCCACCCUCUCACGAGUCAUGAUUCUAUAUUAUAUAUUUGUCCCUCAACAAGGCUUGAAAUGGGUCUGUAAAUAGUUAGUAAAUAAAUCCGAUCCAAUAAUAGGGCUUCAUUAGAACUUAGGCCUAGAAUACCAAUUUUUUGGUUAAUUAUCCUACCUACCAAUGACGUAAGCAGAUGUCCAACACAAUCAUCCUACGUGUCAACUAUUGGCCCCCACUUGAAUCUUGGGUUUGUUACCGUUAUGCAAAAGAAUCCUUGGCAGAGUUGUAAAGGGUUUAUAUAAGGUUUGGGGGUUUUAAAUCUGCUUAUAGUUUUAAAGAACUUUGAGAAAGAAAGCAAGAAGAAAUCAAAACGAAACCCUCGUCUGCAAAACUGUUUUUGGUUUUUUAAGAAACAAAGAAAGCUUUUGAGAAGUAAAGCAAGAAGAACAGAAAUCAAAAAGAAACCCUCGUCUGCAAAAUUCAUUUUGGUUUUUCAAGAAAGAAGCUUUUGAGAAGGAAAUACGGCAUUGAGAAGGAAAGAAAGCAAAGAGAAACGUCAUCACCCUCGUCUGCAAGUUCAUUCCCAAUUUCUGGUCUGCCAUCCAGUGGCGGAUUUAGGAUCUUCUGCUAGGGGGGUCAAGAAUGUUAUACAUCUAGAAAAAAAAAAUGUUAGAAAUUAAACACCUCUAGAAAACUAUCAUUUCAUGUAAAAUAGACUUUAAUUAAAAAUAAAUAAAUAUAAUCAAGAGUUGAUAUAAACAAGAAAAAAAGUAAGUAAUUACUUCAAAAAUUUGUCUAUUUCAUUUCAGACGUCUAUAUAUAUAUAUAUAUAUAUAUAUAUAUAUAUAUAUAUAUAUAUAUAUAUAUAAUUCACAAUUUAUUGAUAAAGAAACCACACAAACAAUUUUGAACAACAUGCCAUGAGAUGAUACCGUCAGAUUAUGAGACCCCAACCAACUCGACCCAAUUAUAUGAGAGCAUGCCACCAUACAAAACUUGCACCUCUGCGCCUAAAACAUCAUGUUAAAGACCAAAAUUCAAAUAGAUGUGAUUGGAUGAACAAGAAAAAAGAGAUUGUUGAUUGAUUUUUUUUUUUUUUUUUUUUUUAUAUAAAAUUCAAAUUUUAUUGAUAAGCUCAACGAAUUACACAAAAGUAGAGGACAAACGCGCUACAAACUGCGCGGCAAGUCCUUUCUGGAUAGCAAACCCGAUUCUCCUAAAUACAUAAAUGUAAAGAUAUUUUAACAUUUUUUUAGAAGGUUGGCAAAAAAAUACACAUAAAAAAUUGUAAUUUUCUAUUAUGUACAUAAAUGUAAAGAUAUUUUAACAUUUUAUUUAUGUAAGAUCUUCUAGAUCUUUAUAAAAUCCUUAAAUUAUGGGAAUGAAAAACAAUUUAACAGAUAUUACUUUAUUAGAAGAUACAAUAUAGUAUCUUUGGUAAUAAAUAUAUUUAAAAAAAUUAAAAAAUUGAACAUAUAUAGUAAAAAAUUUGCAAAACUUCAGGGGUGUCAAGUGAUACCCCAUGACCCCCCUUAGAUCCGCCACUGCUGCCAUCUGCAUUAAGUAGGUUCGUUUAUAAUUGAUUUCCCCAAAUUGGAUAGUGAUUUCAAGUUCUUUAUUUGAAAAAUUAAUUAUUGUUGAAUCAAGAAAUGGAUGAAGGUGAGAAUGAUAAUGGAUGGAUCGCGAACCUGAAUGAUGAAAUAAUUGAUAAAAUAAUGGGUUUUCUAAGUAUUAAGGAUCUUUUCAGGGUGUCGGUAUUAUCCAAAAAAUGGAGUAAUAUCUGGGAUAUUGUAAAACCCCCUAAUCUGAUUUCUCUUCCACCACCACCACCACCACCACCACCAACAACAACAACAAUAACAAUGUUGUUCUCGUCGGACAAGUUUAAAACAUUCCUAGAAAGGGUUGAAAUGGAUGAAUCUGGUAAACAUAUGAAAUUAAGAUUUCAUUGGAGGGAUUGUGUUGAAGCUAAGAUAUUGAUUGUUGGGAAGGAUAUGCGUGAACUCAUAAAAUAACACAUGAAUAUCAUUGUAAUACACAUUACAAAAUUAAUUCUACUAAAGAAUAAAACUCAAAAGAAUUUAUACUCAAUAAACUCAAAAAUAAAUAAACACUUACUACACUUUUCGCAUAAAGAUUUGGAGAAGGAAAUGAACUGAGGCUUGCCGAAGCAAUUUCCUUAAGACAAUAUUACGUCCCUGCUAUAGUGCAAACAGUCUCUGGACGAUUGGUCUCCCAAGAUACAACAGUUCUUCACUCUACUAAACUGCACUAUAAUAGUAGAGUACUAGCGAACGAAUAUGAAGAACCCUUCGAAUUAUUGUAGAGAAAUAAAGAAGACUUUGUCUAAUUAAUUGUAUACUAAUUGGCCAGAUUAACACACUAUUUAUAGUCACAUAAGUGUCUCUUCAUAGGUGUCUUCUCACAUACAUACACCUUUUACAAAAAGGUGAUAAGUUGUUUCAAUGUACCUUUUCACAAAUAGGCACCUAUUGUAGACUAAAGGACUUUUCAUAAAGAAUUAUGAAAUUACACUGAAUCUGGUCACACCAAUUCCUAAAAGGUAUUAUCCAAUGAAUGCACCUUUUCUCAUUCAUUUUCAAUCAUAACAAAAUAUUUUCUUAGAAAAUAUAUUUCCAACAAUCCCCCACAUGAGUGACAAUUAUCUACAAUGUUUUAUAAGACCCAAACAAGCCCACAACCCAUUGUGGGACUAUAGAACAUUAAGUUCUAUGUUUCAUUCAUAUAUAAUGGAAUUUUCCUUCAACAAUCCCCCACAUGAAUGAAAACGAUUCUACAACAUCUCAAAAAUUUUGAAGAGUAUGUUGGAACAAUAUUGCCUCGGGAUAGGUAGAUAUUUCACUUUAAACCUUCCGUAGCAUAAGCCUAUCGGAUUUACUUAGCUAAUCAGUGAAAUAUUUCAUCUUGAACUGUCAGCUGUUGGUGUAAACCAAGACAAUAAAUCAUGCACAACAUUGCUCCGAUUCAAAUUUAAUUCUCGGUUGUGUUCAUUUUGGCCCUGAACAAUCUUAGGUUCUGCGAGUGCUAUUAGAGAAAUUCUGCCUUUAAGAAUCCUCAUAGAGCCGACCCAGCUCUCACUAACAUAGGUGACCGCUUCUAUAAAAGGUAUCCUACAAUACCUCACUUGUAUUUCACAAGAUAUAGACGUCAUUAAAAGCAUAGUUUAACCUCUUUAUCGCAUGUAGGUUGCACUUGUUGCAUCAUAGGAAUCGGGAUGGAAUAGGACUCCCAAGUGCUCCCGUGUGAGUUACUCAGAACUGGUUGUCCUAUUGAACCUAGUCCGUGGGAUCUCCAGUCGCUAGGUUAGGUUUCCGUAUAAAGUAACUCGUAUUGGUUUAGGCUUUAGGCCCAUUCCCCUCGAUGUACAGUUAUUUUUCUUUCUAGAUAAACCUUAAUAAAUGGAUCCGUUAGGUUAUCUUUUGAUUUCACAUAAUCAAUGGAUGUAAUUCUAUUUGAGAGUAACUGCCUGACGGUAUUAUAUCUACGAUGUAUUGUUUGUACAUAGCAACAGCUGAGGUGGCUUCAAAGGAGUUGGUUGCUUUGGGGGAAAAGAUUCAGAGCAUCGCAACCAAUAAGGAUCUCCAAGUGAAAUUCACAAACCAAAAAUUUUGAAAGCUACGUUCUUGUAUGUAGUACAAAUGAACUGGUAACAUAGUUCUACUUUCCUUCCUACUCUACACUAGACCAGGAUUUUUGAACUGGUAUCCCCUUUUUUAUUUCUAUAUCAAUUUUUUUUUUCUGUAAAUCCACUUAUGUUAUGAGCUCUGUGUAAGCACUUGGGAUUGAGCAUUACAACAAUGGGGUGGUCUUAAUUCAAGCUGAAACAGAUAGAUAAUAGGAUCAUGGAUGGAUCUAGAUGAAUGUAUAUAUAUAUAUAUAUACGAAUGAAUUCUAAAAUUUUGCUUAUGCGUUUAUGCUUGUGCUUAAUUUUAGUCUCUAUGGAGGCAUGGACUAAUAGCGGAAGUUAUCAUAAUUGUUGUAUUAACCUAUUUCUAGAUUAAUGCAUUAACAGGUUAGGUCGCUUUGGGGACUUAACCAAAUGGGGAUAUUUUGGAUAGAAAUGGCUGCACCUCGUUGAGAUCGAGAUUGCCUACGUACUCUAGCUCGGGGGAAUUGAACUUAGAGAUCAAGCCAUCGUAGUUCUGUUUAUAUAGGAGAUGGAAGGGCGUGGAUCGUGGAUCUUGCAGAUUCUCCGCCAUCAUAAUGAUGAUUAAAUGUGUAACGCGCGAGGAUCAUCCCUGUGAAUUAACUCUGUAACUGAAGAGAAUAUUCUGUGCAUUGAAUAGGAGCACGUGUGAAUAGGAGGUCGCUGGUCGUUGUGUAGUCUGGUCGCUUUAGUCGAGCUGCUGGCGAGUUGAGAUUGUGGCGACCUGACAGAUUGGUGACUGUGCCACGUGGCUGCUUUUGAUUGGUCGGAGUAUGUAGUACCCCUACAUAAGCCCCCUCUUUUUAGGUCGACUAUUGGAGUCGGGCUGAAAAGACUAAUUACUCUUAUCGAUGCUGAUUUGUAGUUUGCUUUUUGAAGUUGCUGACGUGGCAGUCAUGCAGCGCUGUCUGUGGUAAUCAUGGCGCUGUUAUGGGGAAGUGGAGGAGUUUCCUCGAGCAGUUAGAUGUGUGAUUAUGGCAACUGAAGCACGUACUGCCUGAUUUGCUAUCUGUCUUGCACGUGGAUCAAUCCAACGGUGGAUGCGAACCGUUUUGUGAGUGGAGGAUAACUGUACUGCAUAUGGAUCCGUUUGUCGAUCUCAGCCGUUCGGUUGUUUUGAAUCGAUGGCUAGAAAUUCUUGAGCUACAGUAUAUAAACCGUAGUUACGUUGAUGUAGGUUUACUCAUCUUGCCUUUAUUUGAAUUGCUGCCGCUUUUGCCUUGCGAACUGAAGAACUUUGAGAGCUCGUGAGGUUUGUUCUCUUUUCUUUUCUCUGAUUGUUUGUUUUCUUUCUUUUUCUUCGUCUGUUGUCUUCUGUAUUGCUUGAGAGUAAUGUCUGAGGGUAGUGAUUCUCAAAAUGACCACUUGAGUGAUGAUGGGAUUGAAGAAUAUGAGUCUGAGGGUACUCAUUCUGACUCCCCGUCUCCCGUUCCCGAUGAGAAUGUAGAUAGCCCCCAGAGUAGUGGUUCUCAUGGUCCAGAUUCGUCUGAUGAUGAGAUGGUUGAAGAUGAUGAUGGUAGAAUGUGUAGGAUUGUGAAUAUGAAUUAUGUACAUAGGCAUUUUGCUGUUAGGAGUCAUUACAAGUUUAGGUCGAUUAGGAAUUUAGAGAUAAGGUUUCUUGGUGACCGCUUACUUUCUCCUGAUUACCGACCUCAUAAUCCUUCAUCUACUGUAUUGACAUUGAACCAAUUCCGUGCUGGCUUGAGGUUGCCGUUGUCUGAAUUGGUUGUCGACCUGUUGAAUGCCAUUAGGCGAGCCCCCUGUCAGAUGAAUGGUAACUUCUGGCGGAAUAUGAGGGUUAUUGACGACCUCAACAAGUUGCAUAGGUGGAAUAUUACAGCGGAAGAUGUAUUGAACCACUUUUGCUUCAAACGCUCUUCGAAGGUUGAAUUUUCUGGCUAUAACAUGCAGGUUAGGCCAGAACGUUUGCCUUUGAUUUAUCCAGUGAGUAGCGAGCCAUGGUGGAAAGAUCCCAUGCUAUUCACUGGGCCGAUUGUUGAAGGGGAUGUCCCAUUGCGUCAUACGAUCAGGAAUGAUGAUCGUAAGUUAGUUGUCUGUAGUUUGAUGAUAGUUCGUCUUCUUGUUUUUGAACUUGAUAUGUUUGAAUUUAUUUUUCUGCAGCGAUUCGGGACGAUCAUCUUAGAAAGAACGAUCUGCAGUCUGCUCUGAACUGUUUUGGCAAGUUGGCUGACAAGCGGAAGAUCUCGUUUCUGCCUCACCUAAAGGAGCAUUUCAUUCCUAAAGGUGGUCCAAAAACUGUGGUGGCGGAGCUCAAGAGAAGGAAAGCUUUGAAGAAAGUAUACAUGUCUUCUGUGCACAAAGCGAGUGGGGGGCGAGCUGGUAGUGGUUCGCGAACUGAUGACAGUGAACGGGCUGGUGGUAGCUCGCGGGGUGGUGAGAAGGAACGAGCUGGUGGUAGCUCGAAGUCUGGUGAGGAGAGGGGACGAGCUGUGUGUAGCUCGAGGGCUGGUGAGAGAGAGCGGCCUGCUGGUGCUGCUCGUAGGCCGGAGAAAGAACGGCCUGUGGAGAAUGAGAGAGUUGGUGGUGGGUCGCGCCAGGUGGAGGCAGUGGCGAGCCCCCAAGUUGUGUCUCCUCCGCCUUCACUUCCCAAGCUGCCUGCAUUUUCUGGGCAGAAGAAGAGGUCUCACUCGGGUACUCUGAAGCUGUUGGAGAGACCGUUGUGCCGACACCUGCUCUUACCCCUCCUGUUAGGGGUCCUGAGAUAUCUGCUUUGUCGAUGAAGACUGUUGCUCGGCCUUCGCAGAAAGGCAAGGGUGUGAUGUCUGAGUUUCGCCCUGGGCCUUUCGACUACUUGGAUGGCCGUGGUGAGAGGCAUGUCGUGUAUGACAACGACAGUGCCAUUGAUGACCCUUGCGUCGCCCGAGCUGUGAAUGAGGGCAUCGUUCUGGAGGCUGAUGCUCGAGCUGUGAAGUCUCAAUCCCUCUUGGUCAACUGCUCAAAGCUGAAUUCGGCGCUGUCUUUGGUAGGUGUUGCCAAAAAGUCUUAAUUUCUACUUUAGUCGUUGUUGUCUAAGUUGCUUGCGCUUUGUAGGUGAACGCGACCUUCCAGGAGAUUCGUUUGGUCGCUGAAGUUGGCGCCCAGGCUGAGGUUGAGCUGAAGGCGAUGAGUGACAAGCUUGAGCAAGCGAAGAAUGUUGCCCUUGUUGCGGAGUGCAAGGUGAGGGAUAGGGAUUGUCAGGUUGCGGCGCUGAAGGAGACAGUGGAGCAGCUGAAGGAGGCCAAUGAGCAGUUGAAGGCAAAUGUGGCUGCUGCUAACGCUUCUGCUGAGCACUGGCAGAACGUAAGCCAGGAGAAUGGUGCGGCGUGGCAGGCCUACUGUGAGCAGCUGCAGAAAGCUUUGAUGGGGUCGCCCGAAGGAGAGGAGACGCGAGGUGGUGUUGGAGAUACUCCGGCGCCAGCUCAGGACACCUCGAUGGGCCCUAGCGAUCAGGUCGUUGGAACCCCUAUUGAAGUUGAUACUUCAGGCGGCCAGUCUGUGCAGCAAUGAGCUCGCCUUGGUUUCCCCUUCUUAUAUUGGGUAACCUUGUUUUCCCUUUCUUGUAUUGGGUAACCUUGGUUUUCUUUUCUUGUAUUGGGUAACCUUGGUUUUCCCCUUCUUGUAUUGGGUAACCUUGUGCACAGUUUGCUUCUUGCACUCCUUGUUCUUGCAAUACGUCUUCCAUAGCUUAUUCAUGAGAGCCCCCCUUGUAAUCUUUGAGAGCUUGACUGGAGAACUUCUUGUCUUUUGUAUUUGGUGUUGGUAAUCAGCUUUUAGUUUGAUGAGUUUUGUAUGGAUUCCUUUUUGCGAGCUAGUUUCCAGGAAGUCCUGGUAGCUCGUUCAGAAGGCAGGUAGACGAGAUGAAUGGCUGCAAGCAGGACGCACUGAAACAGUUCCUCUUGUAUGCCUUGAUUCUAUUUUGGUUGUACCUGUAAUUGUUAAAAUCUCAUAAAGUAAAAGUUAAUUCAACUAUUUACCUUGCAUUGUUGAUUAUGUCGUUUUGUCUGCUUGAGUGGACUUGCAAACAAUGUGUGACAUUUGUUUCGACCUGAUCGGGGGUUGAGGUCGCAUUUGACAUAAUUGUGCUUGGGUCGUGGGAAGAGAAAGACCAAUGCACCAAGUUAAGUUGCUAGUGAUUUAACUUAACAAAUUUUGAAAUUAUCAAAGGGACUAGAUUAUUGAUAAUUUGUAGGUCGAGGGAUUGGACCUUUAGUAGCCAUUCAUGUUUGAGCAGAGAUGAAGGCAAAAUUGAAUUUAUAGAUUGAAAUGCAAUGAAUAGAUGCUUACAUUUCACUGAUAAAAUUUCUUUAAAUGGAAAGCAUUCCAUGGGUUCUUAACGAUCUCCCCUUCUGGUGUUUGAAGACGAUAAGAACCGUUGCUCUGGACUUUUGUGAUAAUGUAAGGACCUUCCCAAUUGGCGUUGAGUUUGCCGAUAGUGUCCUUUCUUUUGUUACUGAACAUUCUUCUUAAGACUAGUUCCCCUGGUUGGAAAGUUCUUGGUCGCACGCCUUUGUUAUAAGCUCGCUUGAGUCUCUGUUGGUAUUGCUCGAGCUUUAUAGUGGCGUGGUUACGUCGUUCUUCGAGGAGGUCGACUCCAAACGACCAGAUCUGAUUGUUGAGCUCUGUGUCGACCAGAAGAGAUUUGGUCGUUCCAUAUGUUAACUCAGUGGGAAUAACGGCCUCUACUCCAUAGCAAAGACUGAAUGGUGACAUCCCUGUGGAUGUGCGAGGAGUUGUUCUAUAAGCCCAUAAGAUGUUCUCUAAUUGUUGUGGCCAUUGAUCAUGCUGGUCUUCGAGCUUCUUUUUCAAAUUGGUAAGAAUCUGUCGAUUUGCAGCUUCGACCUGGCCGUUGGCUUGCGGGUACCUAGGAGUUGACCUUGAAUGCUCGAUUUUCCACAGGUCGUAGAAUUUUUUGAUAUUCUUGCCAACGAACUGAGUGCCAUUGUCAGUGACUACCCGUUUAGGUAGCCCGAACCUUGUGAUGAUAUUUUCCCACAUAAAUCUUUGGACAUCUGCUUGUGUUACGUUGGUUAAGGCAACAGCUUCCACCCAUUUAGUGAAAUAGUCUACGGCUACUAGAACGAACCUCUUUUCAGACUUCUUUUCCUUGAUGAGGGGACCCAUGAUAUCAAGCCCCCACAUGUGGAAUGGCCAUGGUGCAGUGAUGUUGAUGAGAUCAUUUGGAUGCUGGUGUUGCUUAUCAGCAAAUCGCUGGCAUUCCUUGCACUUCAAAACAAAUUUCUUUGCAUCUUCCUUCAUUCUUGGCCAGAAGUAUCCUUGAGAGAUUGCUUUAUGGGCUAAGGUACGCCCACCGGAAUGGUUUCCACAUUCACCCUCGUGGAUUUCUUCAAAUAUCAUCUGACCUUGCUUUGGGACCAAGCAUCGUAGUAACAAUCCAGUUGCUGAUUUCCUGAAAAGUUUGCCCUCAUGGAUUUUGUACAUUGUGACUUUAUGCAGCAAUCGACUGGCUUCCUUUUUGUCAGAAGGUAGGACACCAGUUUGCAGAUAAACCAUGAAAGGCUCGAUCCAAGUCCCCUGGAUGUCUGCUGGAGUUGUUUCAAGCAGAUCGGAAAUUUGAUGAAGAUCUUCUUCUUUUAAGAGAUAUGCGGGCUGUGAAUUGAUUGCUAUAGUUAGGGCCCGCGGUCUGUCUGAAUCGAUCUUAGAUGCUAGAAAUGCCAGUGAAUCAGCAUGUCUGUUGUCAUCUCUAGGUAUAUGCUCUAUUGUGAAAUAGCUGAGCUUGCUGAUGAGCUCUUUUGCCUUGCUAGCAUAUCUGAUGAGGUUGACCCCAUUGAUCUGGUAAUUACUGGUAAUCUGAUUGACUACCAGUUGUGAAUCGCUGUACACCUUGAGACGAAGUGCUUGUAAGUCGAUGGCCAUUUUUAGACCCUGUAUGAGUGCUUCGUAUUCGGCCUCGUUGUUUGAGGUCGAGAAGUCCAGACGAGUUGCUCUUUCGAGCUGUGAGCCUUCAGGAGAGAUUAGCACACUACCUAUUCCACUUCCAUUGGAGUUGUGGGAACCAUCUACAUAUAGCUGCCAAGUAUCUGGGGGGUUGUCUUGGACUUGUCUUGUUUCAGGUUCUGGUUCCCAAUUGACAUCCUCUGCUGGAUAGUCCACCAAAAAUUCUGCAACGACCUGACCCUUGACGGCCUGUCUUGAAACGAACUCGAAAGUGUAAUCACCCAGCUCGGCUGCCCAUCGAGCCAUACGACCUGUUUUGUUUUUCUUUUCUAGUAUGUGGCGUAAUGGCUGAUCGGUGAUUACUUUUACAGUGUGUGCUUGGAAAUAAGGCUUGAAUUUGCAUGCAGCGUAAAGUAAUGCUAAUGCUAACUUCUCCAGAGGUGUGUACCUUAUUUCAGCUUGCUGUAAGACUUUGCUUGUGAAGUAGAUAGGUCGUUCCACUUGAUUUUCUUCUUUGAAAAGUACUGCGCUUAUCGCAAAAUCUGAAGUUGCGAGGUAAACGCCAAGUACAUCACCAUCUAUUGGUCUUGUAAGAACUGGUGGAGUAGACAGAUAUGCCUUGAGAUCAUCGAAGGCUUUCUCGCACUCUUCUGUCCACUCAUAUGUAGCCCCCUUCUUUAAGAUAUGAAGCAUUGGUCUACACUUGUCUGAUGCUCUGGAGAUGAAUCUGUUCAGAGCUGAAACCAUGCCGUUGAGCUUCUGGAUUUGUUUCUUUGUUUUUGGACUUGGCAUGUCGAUCAGGGCUCUGAUCUGGUCGGGAUUUGCUUCGAUGCCUCGUCUGGUGACUAGGUAGCCUAGGAAUUUUCCUGAUGCGACCCCGAACAGACACUUUUCUGGAUUAAGACGCAUUCUGUAUUGCCUUAAUCUUUGGAAUGCCUGGUCAAGGUUGUGCAAAUGAUCCUUUUCUUUGUCGCUCUUUACUAGCAUGUCAUCAAUGUAGACUUCCAUUGUUCGACCUAGGAGGUCGUCGAACAUUCUGGUGACCAGUCUUUGGUAGGUCGCCCCUGCAUUUCUUAGCCCGAAUGGCAUGACUUUGUAACAGAAAAUACCUUGCUCAGUUGUGAAAGAGGUCUUUUCUUGAUCAGGCUCGUACAUUGGGAUCUGAUUAUACCCUGAGUAUGCGUCCAUGAAUGACAGUAGCUCAAAACCGCAUGUCUGAUCGACUAGCCUAUCGAUUCGUGGCAGUGGGAAUGAAUCUUUAGGACAAGCUUUAUUCAAGCUUGUGAAGUCGAUGCAGACCCUUGUUUUUCCAUUCUUCUUUAGGACUGGGACUAUGUUGGCUAGCCAGUCUGGAGUAUCGACUUCUCUGAUGAAGCCGACCUGUUUGAGUCUAUUGAUCUCUUCAUUGACGGCUUCGUGAAACUUGGGAGCAAGUCUCCUUGGUUUCUGCUUCACAGGUCGAUAGUUGGGAUUUACCCGUAGUCUAUGGCAUGCAAUUGAUGGGUCUAUUCCAGGCAUAUCGAUAUACGACCAAGCAAAAACAUCUUUAUUCAUUGAAAGAAAAUUUACAAAAUGAGCAAACUUAUCUUCUUCCAAUUCUGAUCCUACAUAGACAUACCUUGGGUCCUCAUCUGACCCAAUGUUAACUCGUACGCCUGGAUCGGUGCUUCCGAGAUUCAGCUUGGGGGAGCUUGCUUGCUCCUUCUGUAAUUGCUAUUUAGCAGGUUCAGCUUUUUCCUUGGAUGGGCUUUUUGACUUGUUGCCCUCCUGAGCCUCUGUUGUGACUAGGCUCUUUCCUUUGACCUCACCAUCCUUGACUCCAGAGGUGGAUGGCUUUGACGCUGGGACAGCUUCAAUAACACCGUGGCAUUCUUGUGCGGUGUUCUGAUUUCCGCGGAGUUCCAUUAUCCCAUAAGGGCCGGGAUAGCGGAAUACCUGGUGGUAAGUUGACGGCACUCCUCUCAUAGCAUGGAUCCACUUUCGACCCAGAAUCGCAUUGUACUUGCUUGCGAUAUUCAGGACGCUGAACUUGCUGGUUACAACGACCUUAUCUUCCCUUCUGCCUACAGUGACGGGCAGAAGGAUCUCCCCCUUAGGGUCUUCCCUUGAACUAUUGAAGCCAAGGAUCGGUGUGAAGUCUGGGAUGAGCACUGAAUCUGGCAGCCUCAUGUCCUUGAAGGUUCGGUACAUGAGAAUGUUACAUGAAGCUCCAGGGUCAAUGAAUACCCUCUUGAUUGUGUAAUCCGCAAUUCUGAGUUCAACGACUAGGGCGUCGUUGUGCGGAGUAACGACCUUAUUGAGAUCGUCUUCAGUGAAAGUGAUGUCAGUCUCUUGCCGGGCAGGGAUGUUGAAGCGAGCUGCUCGGCCACUGAUAGAGUAGACAUGGUGGAGAUGUUCCACUCGUCUCUUUUUGUCCCUAGAGACAGGGGUGUGAUGAGAUUCGUCAAUCAUGUAGACCACAUGACUGUCCGAGUCGCUGUCGCUGUCCACCUUGUUUGCGACCUUCUUGUUUAUAUGAUCGCGUAGGUCGCCUGUUGGACCUAAGCGUUGGGAGAGGCUACGCCCUCUGCUGCGUGCUGGGCUUGCGGAGGCCGUUCUGGCCUUGCUUUGAGCCCGCUUUGGUGAACGAGGAGGGGUUCUGGAUUCCUUCCUCAUUCUCUUGCCUGUGGACUCCUCAUUCCUUCCGAGGAUCCAAUUAUUGAGCCGUUUCUCGUCGGCCCAGGUCUGAAGUGCGCGCUUCAGGACGCGACAGUCAUCAGUCUGAUGACACCGUACUUUAUGGACUUUGCAGUACGGGCGACCAGAUGUAUCCUCCAGCUGUGUGAAGGCAGGAAUUUUGCACCAAUGGUUGUGCUUGAUCCUUUCGAAGAUAUAACCGGCUGGUCGCGUAAACCGGUGAUACUCUCGCUGCUCGGUAGGCAGCGACUUAGCUUUGAACCUCUUUCCUUCCGAUCGAGGUCGUUUGCUUGAGCCAGCCUCAAUGUUGCUGACUACAUGGUUCUUCUCCCUCCCAGUGAGGGCUUCUUCUAACUUAAUAUAACGAUCUACCUUCAGGUAGAGCUCGUCGAGUGAUGAAGGUCUCUUCAUUGCCAGAGACUUGUGCAGGUCGGACCCUUGGAUCAGUCCGUGAGAGAAAGCAAUAGUUGCAAAGGUCUCAUGCUCCUUUGCGAAAUCCUGAAUGGAAUGUAACUCAGAUUUAAAACGCGCAAAGAAAACGCUAAGUGACUCACCAUCCUUCUGCUUGACUUUGAAGAUGGAGUCAAUGGUUACAGGGCGCUUCUUAUUGUGGAUGUAGAAGAUGACGAAUUGUUUUUCCAGCUCUGCAAACGAGCUGAUGGAUCCUGGCUUCAGUCGAUGAAACCAGUCGAGAGCUGGUCCUGUGAGGCUGGACUGAAACAGCAAACACAAAAGAUGGUCCUCCUUUAUCAGAGGAAGGGACUUUCGGAAUCCCUUGACAUGGUCGGUUGGAUCUCCGACUCCUGCAUACUGGUCGAACUUUGGGGCAUUCAGCUUGUUUGGCAGAUCAUGCUCCAGGAUCUCGUUGGAGAAUGGAGAUUCCUGGAAUUGUUGAAGGGACUGCACAACAAGUUGCUCUGCAGUGUGGCUCUUGGACCGGUGAAGGAGAGCCUGGGAUGCUUUGAACUCCGCCAGCUGCUGGCUGAGUUGCUCGAACUUUUGGUUGGAAUCAUCAGCAGGGAUGACUCCAAGUCCGCUAUUCUCCCCUUGCUGGGGGUUGGUUUGAGCGGCUUUUAAACGCUCAUUUUCUUCCUGCAGACGUGUAAUUUGUGCCUGCAGAUCUUGGAUGGUUACUUCCUGAUUGGACAUUUGAUCGAAUGAUAUUUGAGUUAAGGGUGGGAGGGUUUGGGUUUUCGAUUAUAUCGAAUUCCUUGCAGUCGGCGCCAAAUGUAUUAACCUAUUUCUAGAUUAAUGCAUUAACAGGUUAGGUCGCUUUGGGGACUUAACCAAAUGGGGAUAUUUUGGAUAGAAGUGGCUGCACCUCGUUGAGAUCGAGAUUGCCUACGUACUCUAGCUCGGGGGAAUUGAACUUAGAGAUCAAGCCAUCGUAGUUCUGUUUAUAUAGGAGAUGGAAGGGCGUAGAUCGUGGAUCUUGCAGAUUCUCCGCCAUCAUAAUGAUGAAUAAAUGUGUAACGCGCGAGGAUCAUCCCUGUGAAUUAACUCUGUAACUGAAGAGAAUAUUCUGUGCAUUGAAUAGGAGCACGUGUGAAUAGCAGGUCGCUGGUCGUUGUGUAGUCUGGUCGCUUUAGUCGAUCUGCUAGCGAGUUGAGAUUGUGGCGACCUGACAGAUUGGUGACUGUGCCACGUGGCUGCUUUUGAUUGGUCGGAGUAUGUAGUACCCCUACAUAUAGCCAUGGAAUUGGGUGGUAUUUUUGCAAGUUACCCAAUAAAAUGUGAUUGCUCAUCAGUUUUUUUUUACUCAGCUAUGAACAAACACGUGAAUCAUCCUAAGAGGAAGAUCACAUUAAUUUAUUUUUUCAUGGAUCCACUAGACCACUAGUUUAAUUUGAUUUGCGUAGCAUGUGAAAUGUGAGAGAAAACUUAAUAGAAGAAUAAAAGAAUAAAAAAGAUCUGACUUCCUUCAGACUUCAUGCUUUCGAUCGAGUAUUACCAAUGAGGAAAACAACUUUCCCACACACUUUCCACGAAAACCACACGACGGAAAGUAAUUUGAUUUGUCUGAUAGCGAUUUAGUCAUGUAGGCCACGAAUCUUGUAUUCCCUAUGCAAAGUUUUUGCUAUGACCUUGCUGCUGAGUCGUAAUUCUGCCCAAUCAGAUUCCUCGCAUUUGCUAGUAGCGGUGUAAGAAGUUGCUCUGCUGCUCAUGAACCCCACUUAUAAUUUAGCUACGGUACACCUCAUAGGAAGAUUACUAGUAAAUUGCAUCAAGACUUGACAGGGAAAUCUCAUUUCUUAUCACAACAACACAUUGGAGUUUAUAUAAAUGUGAAGAGUGAAAUUCAUACAGCUAGUGAUGCGCGACUCUAGUGCUAGGAAUUUCACUCAAAUUUAACCAAAUAAUCGACGAAUAAUCUAGUUUUAAUCCUACAAUAUUGUUAGCUUAUUACAUGUCCAUAUCACCAUAUUACAUUUCAAUUUUCAACAAUGAAUUCCCAAUAUUGUGUUAUCUUCCAUCCCAUGGCCUAAAUUGAAUUCCCAAUAAUUGAUGACAAAAGAAGGAAAUAUGAUUCGUACAACUGAGUCUAGCUGAUAAGAACACCAAUAAAGAUAAGAAUAAAGUGGGACCAUUCAGUCAGUUUCGUCUGCUGUCUGCCAACCGUCGUUUCUUCAUAGCACGCAAUUAGUACUCUACUUCAAUCUUAACAAUACUCAACCAAACCAAAAACCAAAAACCAAAAACCUCUUCAAAAACUUUCUUGCUCGAAAUCCAUUUCUAUUCUGCAAUUAGCUUGAUUCCGAUUUCAUCAUCAUCAACAACAAGGUAGUAUCAUUCUCUCUCUUCUUCUAGCUUUCUUUAGUAAUCUCUACUGUAUUUAAUUCAGUUGUGAAUGCUGCUGCGCCUGCAUGUAAGAAAAGAUCUUAGAUUGAAUAGUCGUUGACCGCUAGAUGUUUGUUUAGUAGUUUUGAUUUCUCUUUCAUCAAUCGAUUAGAGAUUUUUAAAUAUCAAUUCAGUCUGAUUUUGUUUUUGUAGUUCAAUUUGAUUUUGUCUCAAAUUACAAGCUGAUGAUCAUGUUGAUGAAUGAUGAUCAAUUGAUUUUUUAUUAGGUAGUAGUAGUU
rnacentral:lncRNA from 1 species